UUAUAUUUUUUUGCUUGUUUUUUAUUAGUUAAUUUUUCAUAAAAAUUAUCUAAGAUAUAUUUUUCUCCUUGAAUUCUAUGUAUACACACACUUGAAUGUAAUGGUACUUAUUUUCUUGGUGUUAAAAUACUUUAUCAUUAUCAACAGGUAUAGUAGUGAAAUAAAAGCAAAUAAAUGACAAAUUAUGACGGAUGUUGAUCAAACUAAGGUGCUAUUGAAGACCGUAGAAGCAGAGACUAUGUAGCAUGGACUCAAGCAAGAUGGUAUUUAAAAAAAAUGUAAAAUGUAAUUAUAUGUAACUUUUGAGACUACAAAGCUUGUAGAAGAUUCUUUAAAUUAUAAUCAUACAAUUGUUGAAUCUUUUUUGAAUUUUUCUUUUAGUUUUAAUUAUGUUAUAGAGAUUUUUGUGGUUAAUAAUGCUUAAGUAUUCUUUAAUGAAUAUUUGUAAUUAUGGCUAAAUCUAAAUAUAAUUAUCAAAAAUUGACUAAUAUUCACUUUCCUUUUCUAAUUCAAAUGAGCUAUAACCUAUGCAUUUUGUAGCAAAAAGAAUAUAUUCUUAGCCACGUCACAAAAAUAUUUGUGGCAAAUACUUCAGUGUAUAGCUAAAUAUCUUUUAUUUGGUAGCUAAAUACAAGUAUUAUUAACACGAGAUUGAAAUACGAAAUAGCCAUAAAUUUUAAAUUAUCAUAGCAAAUAAAUAAAAUCCUUUGCCACAUAGAAGACAUUGUGGCUAUAAUAUAAAAAUUACUACAAGUGUUAUUUGUCAUGGCAAAAAAAUAAUAUUAUUUGUCACAAGUAUAUAUUUCAUAGCAAGAUUUUUUUUAUCACCACAACUACAACAUAAUAUUUUUUUGUAGUUGUAAGUAUUAGCUGUUAGUCACAGACUAUGUAAAGUCCAUAGCUAACUUUAGUUACGCCACUUCUUGCUAUGAAUGCUACGGAAAAAAAAUUAGUGGCUAAAGUGUUUAGCCAUGAAACUUUUCACAUUUAACUAUGAUGUAUUCUAAAGCUAUAUAUGCAUUUUGUUGUAGAGUGGUUUCAUUGGGAGCCAUAGUAGUUCUCAAUUCAGAGGUAGCAGUUCUCAUGGUAGAUAUUAUCUGCGUCCAUCCUAUUAACCUUAGAGUCAUCCAGUCAAUCGGUCCAGGCAGCUCUGCAGGUUACUGACGGAGGUCAAUCUAGUGCUAGUAAUUGCCCUGGUCAGAACGAUGGUCAGUCUUUGGAGGGUUCAUCUUCUAGUUAUUCUAGUCGUGGUGGUCACUCUAGGUCAGCCAGAUCAUCUGGUUCUGGUGCGAUCCCUGGUACAUGUUAUAGUUGUAGAGCUCGUGGUCACUAUUCGCGAGAGUGCCCUAGUUGUGAGACGAUUAUUGCUUUAGCUCAAAGUGUUCCCCCUAUUAGAGUAGUUCAUCCCUCAACUAGAGGUGGUUCUCAAGGUCUUAAGGGUGGUUUCUAGGGUGCUCGAGGAGGUUCUCAGGUAGGCAGGACAAGAGGUCUAUUAGGAGCCCAGUUAGAUGGGGGGUAUGGUCAGUUGUAUGCAGUACCCACUAGGCUAGAGACUGAAUCUUUGGGUGUUUUUGUCACAGGUACAAUUUUGGUGUGCCGUCAGUCGGCCCAUACUUUAUUUGAUCUGGGAUCCACUUAUUUUUAUGUAUCUGUUUAUUAUGCUUCAUGGUUAUAGUUAUCUUGAGAUUUAAAAUAUAUUUCAUGACGUGUAUCUAUUCUUAUGUUUUUUUUAGUAGUGGAUCAAGUUUUUAGAUCAUGUGUUAUGACUGUUAGAGAUGUUGAUACUCAUGCUGAUCUUAUUAUUCUAGAUAUAGUGGAUUUUGAUGGACAUGGACUGGUUAUCCCACUAUUAUGCAGCCAUGGAUUAUUUUGCCAAGGUCGUUACCUUAGCCAUGCCCAACAUACCCCCAUUUGUGUGGCAGGGAUCUUUUAGUCAUCAGCCGAUGUGGAUUAUUUCUUAUGUUUGUGGUUAGAUGAUUAUUUCAAGGGGUUUCGAGUCUUAUCUCACUUAUAUUUGUGAUGUUAGUGUGAAGAGUUCAUCGCUUGACUCUAUUUAUAUAGUUCGUGAGUUUUCUGAUGCGUUCUCUACCGACCUGCCUGGUAUUCCCCCUAUCCAUGAUAUUGAGUUUGUUAUUAAUCUCGAGCUUGACACCCGACCUAUUUCUAUGGCACCUUAUCAUGUAGCUCCUACUGAGCUUAAGGAGUAGAAUUCUCAGCUUUAGAAUCUUCUUGGUAAGGGUUUUAGUAGAUUAAAUAUGUCUUUUUGGGGAGCUUAUGUGUUGUUUGUAAAGAAGAAAGAUGGCUCUAUACGUAUGUGUAUUGACUAUACGCAGCUUAAUAAGGUGACGGUGAAGAACUAUUAUCCUAUGCCCUGCAUUGACGAUUUAUUUGACCAGCUUCAGGGAGCAAUAAUGUUCUCUAAGAUUGAUUUGAGAUCUGGUUACCAUCAGUUGAGGAUUUAGGCUGAGUCCUUUAGGACCCGUUAUGGUCAUUAUGAAUUCUCGGUGAUGUCAUUUGGCUUGACUAAUUCCCCAGUCACAUUUAUAGAUUUGAUGAACCAAGUGUUCAGACCUUAUUUGGAUUUCUUUGUGAUUGUGUUCAUCAACUAUAUUUUUGUGUAUUCAAGGAGUAAAGAGGAGCAUGCACAACAUUUGAGGAUCGUACUCUAGACUUUGAUGGAUUAUGUGUUUUACAUCAAGUUCUCUAAGUGUGAGUUUUGGCUUGAGUUAGUGAUAUUCCUUGGAAAAAAUAUUGUCUAAGGAUGGGAUUAUGGUAAACCCGGUUAAGAUUGAGGCAAUUCAUGAUUGGGCUAGGCCUACACCUCCAACUAAGAAUCAUAGCUUUAUCGAUUUGGCCGGUUAUUAUAAAUGAUUUGUUGAGGGUUUUGCAAUUAUUUCAUUGCCUAUGACCAAAUUGACUCGAAAGAAAGUUCUUUCGCGAUGGUUCAAGAAGUGUGAGUCGAGCUUUAGAAAGCUCAAGGAUUUCUCACUUCAACUCCUAUUCUAGCUCUUUCUAUAAAGGGUUAGGGAUUCACCAUGUAUUGUGAUGCUUCUUGUGUUGGUCUAGGUUGUGUAUUGAUCCAGCAGGGUCUUGUUAUUGCUUAUACUUUAAGGCAGCUUUACGCGCAUGAGCGCAACUAUCCCACUCAUGAUUUGGAGUUUAUGGCGGUAGUUUUCGUGCUUAAGAUUUUGAGGCAUUAUCUUUAUGGCGUGUAUUAUGAGAUUUUCAACCAUCCCAGUCUUCAUCACCUUAUGACCCAGAGAGAUUAAUGCUAGGCAAUAUAGAUGGAUGGAGUUGUUUAAAGAUUAUGAUAUCUCUAUUUUGUAUUAUCCGAGCAAGGCGAAUGUGGUAGCAGAUGCCUAGAACUGAAAGACAGUGAGUACGGGUAGCUUGGCUUAUAUUUCUAUUUCUCAGAGGUUGUUGGCAUGGGACAUUUAGUCCUUAGUCAACUUGGUGGUUUGACUUGACAGUUUAGGCCCUAGGAGGAUUCUUGCUAGUGUUGAGAUGAGGUCUUCAUUAUUUGGGCAAAUUCAGGAUCGUCAGUUUGAGGAUAGUAAGCUUCAUUUCCUUUAUGAUCAGGUGCUUAAUGGUAAGUCAAAAAGGAUCGCCAUAGAUUCUGAGGGUGUUCUGAUAUUUGAUAGUUGCAUUUGUAUUUUGAGGAUCACUAACUUGAUUCAGUUAAUUCCGCACGAGGCUCACAACUUUGGAUAAUCUAUUCAUUUGGGCACAACUAAGAUGUAUAGAGAUUUAAGACAACAUUAUUGAUAGAUUGGCAUAAAGAGAAAUAUAGUGAAUUUUAUAGCUCAUUACCUAUGUUGUCAGCAGGUAAAUGUCGAGCAUCAACAACUUGGUGGAUUAACUCAGAGGUUGCCUAUUCCUAAGUGGAAAUGGGAAUACAUUACCAUGGAUUUUGUUAGUAGUUUGCCUCGUACUUCAUAUGGUUUUGAUGGUAUUUGGGUCAUUAUGGAUUGAUUGACCAAGUCAACGCAUUUUAUUCCUAUACAGAUGUCCUUCAGUUUUGAGAGGGUAGCCUGUAUCUGUGAGCAUGAGAUAGUCCAUUUGCAUGGUGUGCCCAUAUCUAUUAUUUCAGAUCGAGAUUCUGUGUUCACAUCUAACUUUUGGAGAGCUUGAGGAGUUGGGCACUCAGGUGGAUCUUAGUAAAACCUUUCAUCCUCAGAUCGAUGGCCAGUCUGAGGGAACUAUUCAGGUGCUUAAGUAUAUGCUCAGAGCUUGUGUUAUGGAUUUUGGAGGCUAGUGGAAGGAUCACUUAGCCUUUGGCAGAGCUUGCAUAUAAUAACCGUUAUUAUUUGAGCAUUGACAUGAUGCCUUUUGAGGCUUUAUAUGGUAGGAAAAGUCGUUCUCCGAUUUUAUGGUUUGAGACUUUUGAGGUUCGGGCCACGUGGUACUGAUUUGCUCCAGGAGUCAUUAGGUAGAGUAAGGGUGAUUUAAGACAGGUUGAGAGUAACUCAGAGUAGAUAGAAGGCUUAUGCAGAUCGUGGGUUUCAUACCUUGAGAUUUGGAGUGGGUGAUCGAGUAUUCCUUCGUGUAUUACCCAUGAAGGGUGUGAUGAGAUUCGGGAGGAAGGGAAAGCUUAUCCCCAGAUAUAUUGGACCUUUCGAAUUCUUUGCAUGAUUGGUGAGGUGGUUAUGAGUUAGCCUAACCUCCAAAUUUUAUUGUUGUCCAUCCGAUUUUCUAUAUUUCUAUGUUGCAGAGAUACAUUCCUGAUCCAUCUCAUGUAGUUAGAUAGGACUCAGUCCAGUUGGAUGAGCAGUUAACCUUUGUGGAGGAGCCUAUGCUCAUUUUGGCUAGUGAUUUCAGGAGGUUGGACACUAGGGAGAUUCCUAUAUUUAAGGUUCAGUGGAGACAGCGCCCAAUGUAUGAGGCCACUUGGGAGAUUGAGAUCGAUAUGCGAACGCAAUAUCCUCACCUAUUAGACGCUUCAGGUACAUCCUAAUCUUGUAACUUUCGUGGAUGAAAGUUUCUUUAGUAGUGGAUAUUGUACUGACCCUUCUGGUCAUUUUCCAUAUUUUUACUUAUUUUCACCGUUAGAGCUUUCCUAUAGCUGACCCCAAGUCAUUUAUGACUUGUUAGGACUAACAGUUUGAUUACCAAACAGUUCACUUGGUUUUUUAGAGUCAUUUCCCUAUUUUGAAGUCUUCAUUGGUUUCAAAUGACCACCAGGCAAAAACUUCAGCCAAACAAUGUCAUAUGCAAAUUCUAACUGUUCUAGUAGCUUUGAAAUAUUGGUUCUAGGUAGUUGGACUUUUGGUUCGGAUUUCGAGACACCCGAGUUUGAUUCGACCUAUUGGUUGAAAGUUAGGAAAAUAGAAAGUUGGCUAUGGAACCCACUUUUUGUUGAAAUAGCCUUGAAUUAAAAUUUUGGCUACGCCAUUGCAUCCAGAACGUCGAAUUUGAAGGGUAGCAUAGUUCAUUUGUGUAUACGAAAUUUUGGAUAAAUUUCGAGGGGUUGGCUGAGAUUUCAAGUCUCAGUUGUGACCAGUGCCAUCGCUAAUAGCGAGCCUUUGGGUCGCGAUUGUCAUUUCCUUGAGUAGGGUAUCAAAUGUCACGAUUAUGGGGCUAAAUGUCACGAUCGCGACUCCCUUAUGUAGUCACAAUCUAUCACGAUAGCGAUACUUGUGUCGUGAUAGCGACACUCGAGGACCUGGUAUAGGUAUAAAUAGACCCUUUUUAGCCCGCUUUUCCCAUUUCUCACCGAUUCUCUAGAGAAUAAAACCCUAAAAGAGAGGAAAAACUUGGGAUUAAAGCUUGUGGGUAAUUUAAGAGCUUGGCUAACACUUGUUUUCGUGAUUCUCCUUUGAUUUAUGGUAAGAUUUCACACCUAUUCAUGGUAGAUUUCUCCCGCUUCUUGUUCAAAAUACCAAAAUCUUGGAGGCUUUAUUUUAGGGCCAGAUUAGCUCAAACUUUAUCCAUUUUUUAAGGUAAUGACUUCUUGAGCAUGAAGAAAAUUGGGUUGGUUUCAGAAAUGCAAUUUCCAGUAAAUAAGAUCCACAUGGAAUUUUAGUAUUAUUUUUGGACCUAAAGCACAAUGGUACAAUAUGGUGUCAUUAUUCUCGUCUUGAUGAGUAAAUUGUGUUUUUGAUAGCGUGGAAUAUUGAGAAGGCUUCUCGAAAGGGAAAAGCAAGAUUUAACAUAUCUUUUGAGCUUUCUUCAACGUUUAGGUAGCUUAGGUUUUAUUCCUUGUUAGAUUGAUCAAAUUCAUAGUAUGUUUAUGAUAUUAUGUUAGAUUAGGGAUGAGUUUUAGGUAUUGGUGUGAUAAAUUGCAAUACAUGGGUUAGUUAGACCGUUUAGGCUUUUUUUAAUACCAUAUUUGGGCAUAAUUAGCCUAGUUAGUCAUACCUUAGGUAAAGUUGACCUCAUGGCUCUUGUUUAGGAUGGAAAUACCUUAGUUACCCAACCACUGAGGAGAUUGCCUUAGUUACUUGGGUUUAAGGUGAAACUUACCCUAGUUAUCAUUAUCUUAGGUAAAAUUGAAUUAGUUUCUCUAUAUUGGGAGAAUUGCUAUCCUAGGGCUAGUUAUGGCUUAUUCAACAUCUUAUAGUGGACUUAGAUACCUUAGCCUAGCUCGGGAUAGACAUUACUUGGUAAAGAAUUUCAGGGAUAUAGAAGUGGGCUCUUCGAUCCACCUUAGGCCAAGACUUGUGUUAGUUAUUGAAGAACUUCUAUAAGCUUGUGUACAUUUAGGAAAUGUUUAUUGUGGUGAUAUUGAGAUGCCUUGGUACUUGAUGGUUAUGAUGGAUUGACGUUGAAAGUAAUGCUUAUCGAUUAUGCUAUGAAUAAGCUAUCAAUUAUGCUACGAAUAAGUUAUUGAUUAAGCUUAUGAUGAGCUAUUCAAUAUGCUAUUGAAUAAUCCCUUUAUUAUGAUAUUGAUUAGGCCAUUGAUUGUGCCAUUAGGUAUGCUAUUGGCUAAGUUAGCGAUCAUGUCUAUCGACUAUGUUUGCGAUCACGCUAAUGACUAUAUUAGUGAUUAUGCUAUUGAUUAUGCUAGUGACAAUGUCUAUUGACUAUACUAGUGAUCAUGUAAUUGGUUAUGUUAAUGAUCAUUCUUAUUGGUUAUAUUAGUGAUCAUGUUAUUGUUCAUGUUAAAAAUCAUGCUUAUUGACUAUAUUAGCAAUUAUGCUUUUAAUUAUACUAAAAAACAUGUUUAUUGACUAUAUUGACAAAUUAUGCUAGAUUAUACCGAAAACCAUGUUUAUUGACUAUAUUAGCGAUUAUGCUAUUGAUCUUACUAAAGAACACGCUUAUUGAUUAUAUAAGCGAUUAUGCUAUUGAUUAUACCAAAGACCAUGCUUAUUGAUUAUAUUAACGAUUAUACUAUUGAUUAUACCAAAGACCAUGCUUAUUGAUUAUAUUAACGAUUAUGCUAUUGAUUAUGCUAGGGAUCAUGCUUUCAAUUAUGAUUAGUGAUCAUUUUAAAUAACUAUACUAGCGAUUAUGCUCUUAAAUUCACUAUUGAUUAUGCUAUCAGCUAUGAUAAUGAUGAUAUGAUUACUGGUACAAGUUCGGAUAUUGCUUGUGCUAUGAAUUAGAUAAAUACCGGUUCAAGUCUAGAUAAUGCUAAUGAUACCGAUUAUUUAUACUCGAUGUAAGUUCGGAGGAUGGCUAUGAUAUUAAUAACGAUAUUGAUGAUAUUGGUAACGAUAUUGAUGAUAUUGGUGAUGAUAUGCAGGAUUUUAUCGAUGAUGAUAUUGUUGAUUAUACUAUCGGUUCAAGUCUGAAUACUAAUUACAAUAUGAUAUAUUUAUACAUGGUUACUGAAUCAAGUUCGAAAAUGGGGGAUAGUGAUAACGUGAUAAGAUUUGAAUGGAUUUUAGGGAUACUAUGAAUAGUUGAUGAGUAAUGAGUAGUAGAUGAAUAAUGAUUAGUUGAUAAAUAAUGAGUAGUUUAUAAAUGAUGAUUAGUUGAUAAAUAAUGAUAAGUUGAUAAACGAUGACUAAUGAAUAAACGAUGGAUAUGGGGUGACAUGACAUGGAUGAAUUCUAGUUGUAUCAUGAGAGUUGAUAAAUGAUGGUGGUGGUUUAUAUACUAUUUUGCUUGUACCUUUCAGGCUUAUGGAGGAUUUUGAUGGGUGAGCUCUUGGAGUCAAAGUCACCCAUUUCCUUCAAUCUUACUUAUGUCUAGUGUUUAGUUCCGAGACAGAUUGUAUUGACUAUUUUAGAUACUUGGGUUGUAUUUAUAGUGGCUCUUGUACUAGCUCUACUAGGCCGUGGAAUGGUAUCUAAGUGUUGAUUAUCUUUUAUCUAUUUCUAAUACCUUGUUAUUUUAAGUUGAACUUGUUGUUUUUUUGCCUUGUUGGGCAUUUUCCAGCAAGUUAACCCAUUUUGCUUAGCUCUGAAUUAUGAUUUGGCUUAUCUAUUAGCGGGAUAGAGUAGGUGCCAUUAUGACUCGUAAAUCGAAUCAUGAUAACUACACCGCCACAUAAGGUGAACACAUAACCACUAGUUGAUUUCGUCUCAUCGGAAUCAAAGAUCCAGUUUGCAUCACAAUAUCCUUCUAAAGUAGAAGAAAAUCUACUAUACAGGAUUCCAUAAUUCACGGUUCCUCUCAAAUACUUCAUCAGUCUUAUCAACACAGACUAAUGUUCUUUAUUGGAAUUAUGAAUAUAUCUACUCAGGCUACACACAAUAUAAUCUAUAUCAAGCCUAAUAAAAUCCAUCAAAUGCAUCAGACUCCUAAUAAUCUAUACAUAUUUAAACUGACCAACUGGGUCACUAUUAUUCUUUUCAAUCUAGAGUUAGCAUCAAAAGGAGUGGCUACCGAAGUUACCUCUCAACAUUCAAACUUCUUUAGAAGUCUUUCAACAUAAUGUUCUUGUGACAAUAUUAUACCAUUGGCACUUCUCAUAACUUUAACUCUCAUAUCAUAUUUACUUCACCUUGAUUUUUUUAUAUAAAAGUUAGUAGACAAAAAUAAUUUGAUACUUUUUACAACAUUUAAACUUGUAUUAAAUAUAAGCAUGUCAUCAACAUAUAAGAAACACAUUUAUCCACUUCAAAUAAACUUUUAUUAAGACUUAAUUAAAAUUCUCAUUCCACUGCAUAAGAGCUUGUUUAAGGCCAUGAAGUGUAACAUCCGGUCUGUACCCCAGACGCUACACGAUGCUAACGACUCUGAAGGACCACAAACUAACCCAUGACUAAUAUCUGUUGUGAGCACUGAAAUAUGAUAUUGUAAUAAGUGCGGAAAAUAGGCUGAAAUGCCAUAAGGUUCAAAAUCUGUAAACACUGCUAAAAUGUAUCAACUAAAAUAACAAUCUGUUAAAUUGAACAUUGUCUAAAAAUUAGUCUGAAAAGCCUCUAAUCAGAACUUUCUAAAUGUGAAGUUGAUGGGACAAUCCCCCAACUAACUCUAUCUACUGAAAUACUGAAUCUACUUUAAUAAUGAAAUGAAAGAAUAUUCUCGAAUGAGAGGACUCACUACUAAAUCUACUGUUGGCUGAAUCUGGAUCUAUCUAUGCGCGGUCAGGAACCUGAGCAUCUGAACCUAUGAUAUAAGACAUCAUAGCAUAAAUAAAGAGUAUGCGUUAAUACGUGGAAUGUACUGGUAUGCUAGAUGAGGUAGGGCUGAAUGCAAGGGUUCAUAUGCAUGAACAAUAACUGACUGUAUGAUAUAGAGUAACUAAACAUGAGAGUACAUGGAUAACUGAUACUGCUAUAAAUACUGAGUAUCCACUACUGUGCAUAUAACUAAUUACUGUGACUAAACUUGUCUGAAGUUAAGUCCUGAAUUCUGAUUAAGUAACUGAUAUCUGAAGUUACUAAUAACUGAGUUACUGAUACUGAUUGACUGUAUCUGACAGUCCUAAUUCUGUAGAACUGGACUGAGUUCUAUUCUGAAGAUAAGACUGAGACCGUGGGAGGUAAUCAUCUAACCGACAUGCCCCAAAUAAGAUAACUGAGCUGGGGUCCAACCUGUGACCCUAAUUGUAAGGGUGUCAGUACCGUGCCACGGGUAAAGACACUGACGAGUUACCCUCAUCUGACAGAUACUCUAAUAAGAAUGGUAGAACCUUCAUCUGGCAGGUUAAAACACCUCAUCAACCCUCAACUGGAAGGUUUGAUGUCUCAACCUACGCUGGCUACGUAGUUCUAGAACUCAAGGAUUGCUUAUAGAGAUAACACCCUUUACUGGCAGGUGAGCCCUCAUCCUUGGGUUCACUCGGUGCUGAAUCUUACUCCCAACAAAAAAACACCGAACUGAGUAUACUGAACUGGACUAGACUGAUACUGAGCUUACUGAGUUUUCCUGGGUUUGGUAACUGACUGAGUUCUGCUGAGUUCUAUAACCGACUGAGAGUACUACUGAUCGUGACAUGACUGAGAUUCUGGAACUUACACUGGCUCUAGGCACAUAGCUAAAUUAUCAGGUAUUAAAUACCUCCAGGACUCGAUAGCAUAAAAAAAAAUAAAGCAUAAUAUACUUUUGAAAAUCAUAACAAUGUAUACUUGUCUGUAGUUCACUCAUAUAGGCAUUUUAAAAAACAUUUGUAAUGUAUCUACUUAUACAUGAAUGGGGAAUACAUGCUAUCAUGUUAUAAUGAUACUAUUUCAUCACAUAGGCAUUUUAUCAAACACAUGGGGAGCAUGCUUAGGUUAUACAAUAAUCAGAACAUAUAGUUAUCAUAGCUACAACAAUCAACUUGCAAAUUGAAGGCUUUAUCAUGAAGAACAUGUAAUUCAACACAUACAAUGAUUAAUUUCAUAAAAUCAUGUAAUUUAAUCAUGGACUAAACCCCAACAAUAACAUGAACAUGAAUUCAAUUCAAUUCAAGCAUGGAAGUUCAUAAUUCAACAAUCUUGUAUUUUGAAAACGGAUUCAUGGACUCUAUGGGUGAAAGGAACCCAUAGAUGAACACCUAACAUACAUUGGAUUAUUAGUUCUUGAAGGUACUUGAAAAAAUUCUUGAGUUUUGACCUUGAUUCUUGAAGCUAGGGUUUGUUUCCUUGAGAGAGAUUACUUGGAUUUAGGAGAAAAAUAAGUGAAUAAUGACUUUAAAAUGUUUUUAGGGAUUAAAUCCCGUAUCUGGACGUAUUAAACUCAUAGGAAAAGACCAAUUUAACCCUGGAUGACAAUUUUAAUUUUUUGUCAAAAUUUUUCAAAAUAGGCACUUGGCGCGAUGCGGCGCGAUCUGGAAAUUGCCAAUUGGGAAAAUGUAUGGUGGCGCGACGCAAUGGUAUCGCGUUACCACUUUGGUUGGGACCUGAAAGUUCACCGCGACGCAGUAGAAUCACGUUGGUACACUGCAAAUUGACAAAUGUGAAAACAAGCUGUGGAGCAAUGCGCCGGCAUCACGGUACCUCACUGGAAACUGACAAUUGCCAUUUUGACAUACUCUACGACGUGCUACUGGCCUGAAUGACGGUAUUUAACGACUGAAACUUAAAAUAGUCAUAACUUCUCAUUCGGUUAUCUAAUUUAGGCAAAUUUUAUAUCAUUGGAAAGCUAAUUCAAUUUCCUACGCAAUGGCAGGCUCUAAACAAAAAAAUACUAAGCGUUUCAAAAAUUUUAUAUUAGAUAACUCAUGAACUGAGAGUUAAGUUAAGCUUGCGAAUAUGGGGUAUUACAAUAUCUCCCCCUUGAGAACAUUCGUCCUCGAAUGAUAUUGAUUAAGCUAAGACACUGAUAGACUGAGUUUACUGAUACAAGAACAAAUAAGAGAACACAAAAUCACACCCCAAAACAGUCCACAAAUCACAACAAAUCAUGGACCAAAUGGGGACCUCUCUCGGAUUCACUAUCUAGAACAAGAAAGAAAAUGAUACAAGGUGUUAAUACACCAAAACAGCCAGCCAACAAUUAGUUUAGCAACACAAUAUAAAGCUCCACAAUAUUACAAUAGCAACAAAAACAAAUGAGUUACAUCAACAACACAAGAAGCCGAAACUAAAAUAAGAUACAGGAUAGAUAGUUAGACAAGUGUUGAUGUAGUCUUAACAAUCCAAGAGCAUAUUCCACUCUUGGACUUUUAACACUUCACACAACAAACACCUAACUCUUAUAAUUGACACAAGAGAGGUGUCCACCACCCAAGCACCAAUGUAUCAACCAAAAUGCAACACACAAGAUAAUCCACUCUUAUGUUAUGCCCUAGUUUUGGUUGUGGACUCUCUCUCUAAGAGGAGUGUUAUUUCUUCAACAUUUAUAAAAACUACCAACUAAAACCCUACAAUGUUCAAUUUAUAUUAAAUUACAAAAUAAAAUACAAAAGACUAAAAAACCCUUUACUGAAAAGGGCUCAAAAACAGCCCAUGGAGUAUGCUUGAGAUGGUUUUGGGACUCCUUCACACUUAGACAAGUGCACUCUUUAGGUGGUCUUCAAAAUACUCAAAAAAUGUCCAUGAUCGUGAUCGUUCUCGUGUCAUACUCUCCAUCUUGAGAGGAAUUUGACCACAAAUUCACGGCUUCACCUCGUGCAAUUGGCCCUCCAAAAGAAACCAUGCAAAACAAUCCGCAAAGCAUCAAGAAAGUGCACAAAAUAGUCCACAAAAAAACAAAAGAAAACCCGAGGAUACAAUGAGAACAAGUCUCAGCUAACAUCUUUAUUUUAAACCUCGACUUCCUCUCCAUCUUAAGCCUUGUCUUCAAUCUCAUUAGAAACAAGUCUCCUACCAUCAUAUAAGCAUUGUUGUAGACCCCAUAUCAUUCAUGUUCCUUUCUACCAUUCUCCUCUAUAUGGACAUGUCGGGUUUGGUGUAGUGGAGCUUCAGUUGAGAGGCUUGCUUUGGUUAAGUGGGGUUUCGGUUGUGGAGUUUGGCUGGGAGGAAAUUGGCUUUCAAGUCCUCCUUGUUGGAUUUGAUCAACUUGCGGGGGAAGUGUUCUAUCUUGUUCUCGGUUUUGAGGGCUACUUGGAGCUUGGAUUAUGGCAUUAUGUGGUGGUCUUGGAGGAUUGGUCAUUGGAAGUAAAGUUUCGAGAGUAAAAGAACGAAAGUUCCUUCGACUCUCUAUUUGAUCCAACCUCUCACUCAUAGUUACCACAUCCGAGUUAAUUUUUUAAAGACACACGUUUGCCCUAGCAAGGUCUCAGGACAAAGCAUCGAGGAGGGCCAAAAUGGUUUCCAUUAUGGCCAAAAGUUACCUACAAAACAACAAAUAAGUUAGCUAUACAAGAAUGGUCCUCACACUCUCUCUCUAUUGUUUUGUCACUCGAAUUUUUCACACUUUGAUCUCACAAGUGUCGUAACCUUGCUUGUACUCCAUGAGGCAUUAAGAAGUGGACCAAGUAUUAUAAUGAGUCAAAAGAAUAAGACACAUAAAUGAACGUAUACACGAAGUACUGUUUCAAAACUAACUUACAUUCUAGUACUAGCUUGUAAGUUAGUAAUGAAAUCAACAAACGAAACUAAAGAAACAAUAAAAUAAAACUAAGAAAUCUAAAAUUUGAGCUUAAAAAUUAUCCGUGAACAGUAAAAACGUGAUGAUGUGACAACCCUCAAUUGGUCACGGUUUUGUCAAAUUUUAUUGUCCAAGGUUCAAGUCUUGACCAAUUUUUGAUCUGGAUUGGUGGAAUUGUUUAAGGGGGGAAAGAAUAAGUCUUGGAACUCUUUUUUAAAUCAAGUUUCAAGACUUGGACUUUUGUAGUAUUUUCCCUUAAAACAAGGCCCUCAAAACAUGAAAGUUGGUUGGAAAAGGGCUGUAAAGUCUUUGAGUGGUUGGAAGUGUUGGUAAAAGUCUUUGAUGACUAACAAAUACUACACCUCCUUCUUUCACCCUCUUAGAUAUAACAUCCAUUUUUUUUUCAAUAAAAGAUGAAGAUUGGUGAUGAACACUAAGAACACUAAGAACACAAACUUUUGAAUCUUGGAGUCUAAGGUUCAAGUUGGUCUCACACUUCAAUCAACACUUUGUCAAGUUCCACCUUUCAACAACAACUUCAACAAGAAGUUCUUAAGCCACCAAUUCACAACAAUAACACAAGGUCAAGCUCAAGAACUCAACAACAACAACAACCUUCAACAAUAAGGAUCAACACAUGGCCACUUCAAGUUCACAACAACAAUGUCAAUAUUAUAAGCUCAACCUUUAGAUCUAGACACUUUUAGUGUUGGUGAGAAAGAACCAAACUAGAAACACACUAGACAAACAAAAGAACUACAAGAUCUGGUAAAGAAAAAUAAGAAAAUCUCGGCCAAUACAACAACACAACACAAUUUUUGGCCAAGAACACAAAAAUGGACAGAUUGCUAUUUUCUAGAAUUUUUCAGUUUUAUCAACUUUUUUUUUGACUAAUCAAACCCAAGAUUGUAUUUGUGGGAACAAAAACCAGCCUUGCUUUGAUACCAAAUGAUACAAGAACAAAUAAGGGAACACGAAAUCACACCCCAAAAUAGUCCACAAAUCACCACAAAUUGUGGACCAAAUGGGGGCCUCUCUCGGAUUCACUAUCUAGAAUAAGAAAAAAGAGGAUACAAGGUGUUAAUACACCAAAAAAGUCAGCCAAAAACAAGUUUAGCAAUAUAAUAUGAAGCUCCAUAAUAUUACAAUAGCAACAAGAACAAACGGGUUACAUUAAUGACACAAGAAGCCAAAACUAAAAUAAGAUACAAGAUAGAUAGUUAGACAAGUGUUGAUGUAGUCUUAACAACCCAAGAGCAUAUUCCACUCUUGGACCUUUAACACUUCACACAACAAACACCUAACUCUUACAAUUGACAUAAGAGAGGCGUCCACCACCCAAGAACUAACGUAUAAAGUAAAAUGCAACACACAAGAGAAUCCACCCUUAUGCUAUGCCCUAGUUUCAGUUGUGAACUUUCUCUCUCUAAGAGAGUGUUCUUUCAUCAACAUUCAUAAAAACUACCAACUAAAACCCUACAAUGUUCGAUUUAUAUUACAUUACAAAAUAAAAGACAAAAGACUAAAAGACCUUUAAUAAAAAGGGCUCCAAAAAUAGCCUAUGGAGUGUGCUUGGGAUUGUUUUGGGCCUUCUUCACACUUAGACUUAUGCUCUUUAGGUGGUCUUCAAAAUACUCAAAAAGUGUCCAUGAUCUUGAUCGUACUCGUAUCAUUUACACACUGAACAUGCAUAUUUAAUGCAUGACUACAUGACUCAACUAUUGAUAAACUAAGCUCUUACACUGAACAUGCAUAUCUGAUGCAUGGAAUUUAUGACUGAAGCUCCUGACAAACUGGGUUUUCAUAUUGAACAUGCAUAUCUAAUGCAUGAGUACAUGACUGACCUGAUUCAUGAAUGGAUGACUGAAUAUGCAAUGGUAAUGGAUACCAAGUUAUAAUUAUAGCUGAACAUAGAACUGAGUAAAGCUAAGAAAGACUGUUACCUUAAGCUGGAUCUGAUUUUGCGAAGAAGAGGUGAGGAUCCUUGGUCUGCAUAUCUGCUUCUGCUUCCCAAGUUUCUCCCUCAACGAACUGAUUUUGCCAAAUAACUUUUACUAAGGGAACUUCUUUGUUCCUCAGUUUGUAAAUCUGAUGAUCGAGGAUUUGGACUAGAACCUCUUUGAAAGAGAGAUCGUUCUGAAUAUUUAAGUCCUCUAAGGGAACUAUGGUUGCUAGGUCACCAAUGCAUUUUUUUAGCAAGUAGACAUGGAAUACAAGAUGUACUGAAGCUAGAUGUGAAGGUAACUCAAGCUCGUAAGUUACCUUUCUGAAGAGACUGAGAAUUCUAUAAGGAUAAUGUAUCGGGGAUGAGCUUUCCCUUAUUAUCGAACCUCUUUACUUCCUUCAUGGGAGAGAUUUUCAAGAAUAUAGAAUCAUCAAUCUCAACUCAAGAUCGUUUACUAGACACGCAUGAACGGGAAUGGGAGAACAAAACUGAGCCUGAAAUGUGAUACAUGAACUGAAUAUCAUGAACUGAACUGAUUCCUUAAAUACAUGGUUUACGGUUGAGAUUGGGACUUCAACUUGGGAGUACCCACUACUCUAAAAUGGAUUCGUUAUGUGAAAAGAGCAUGGAAGGCUUAGGUCAUAAAAACUCGAGGGUUUAUAAUGCAUCUCCCCCUUGGGAUAUUAUGUCCCCCGAAAAAUGCUGACUUAGCUGGGAUUCUGAGAAAAUGAGAUGAUGCACGGGGCAUCUUCGAACUAAAUCGUGACUGACUAUCUAGAUCUAAAACUGAGGCAUGAUACAUAAAUUGGGCUGAAAUCAUAAUUACUAGGAUGCUCCAUCUUGGAAUGGGCAUAUUCAUGAGACUUCGGAUAGGGCGACUGGGCAAAAAGAUGGGAAAACCAUUCAUACUUGUCCACCUGACUGCUAAACAGAAUUCCUGGCUUUAUGGACUAACUCAUUCUGAGAACUUAUGUUCAACUGAAGUAUUUCUUGACACUCUUUCUAUACAGUUCUACUGACUUUAGUAAGCAAAAAAUUUUUGGCAUGGUCUAAAUAAGAUAUCUGAAUAAGGUAUAUAUGAGGCAAGGCCUACGAAACAUCAUCAAAGAUAGAGUGACUAAGCCUUAUGCAUUGCAACUACAAAUUUUUAUACUUGGAAAUAUUCCUCAAAUACUCUCUCAACUAUACUCUCCACCUUAGUACGACACUUCACCUGAGACUACUGAAAAUGUCCACAUAGGCGCUGAGCACGAAUGCAUAAACAUACUAACUUAUCUGAUUAACUGAAUGACUGAUAGCUGGAUGCUGGUCAUGUAAGAUUGAACUGUACUUGACCUGAAUAACUGGACUGAAACUAUAAAGUACUAUGCAUUUGUGGUAAGGACUGACUGAGGAACAUAAGGUAACUGAGCAAGAAUUAGUGAAAAUGGUAUUAUAUCGAAAUGCAAGACUAAGCGCAUGGCAUAAUUCUGAAAUACUGAGAUACUGACAACUGAAUAACUGAUAAUUAUAUGCGUUUGUCAAGCAAACCUUAAACUGGACUCAGUCUGGAACUGAAUACUGAAUUGAGCACAUUGUAAAGCAUGAGUACAUGAGUCAUGAGCUGCAUGACCUGAGUUUGGAGAUUCUGAUUUAAUGUAACAUGAUUCAAAACACCGAGUGAACUGGAACUCCUUAUACUAGAAACUAUAAGCGUUGAUAUUUAUUGAUGUGCAUGAAUAUAGGCUUGGAUCGUAGAUAUUACAUGUACUACAUGAGUAGAUAUCAUGAUAGUUGAAGUGCAAAACUUUGCAAUGAGGUAAGGACGGGUUGGGCAUCAAUCUCUCUCACUGCUUUUCUAUACAUACUGGCAUUACUACUAAAAUCUAGAAGCCUCACUUGGUUACCUAUACUACCAUCUCCCCCUUUAGCUUAAAGCCGUUAUUCUAAGAUUGUGAGUCACUUAAUAAACUCUAAGUCAAACUGCAACCACUUUACUCCAGAGUCUGAGAUAUGACAAUGCUCAUAAACACUAAACUCAUUCUGAAGGACUAAUCCUGAUAAUGUAAGGUCCACUGCUAGUACUUUAUUCUGAUACAUGAUUCUUAGCUUGCCUAAAAAAUCAUCAUAUAGCAACCUCAACACUGACUAACUUAGAAUUCUCAACUUCUUUUUCUACUAUUUUAAUCUAGGGAUUCAAACUUAGAUCAAUUAAAAUGCGGUACUACCCCUUCAUUCAAUGAUUGGUCCAUCAGGAAACUGAAACAGAACGACUCUAUUAUUGAAAUUGGCUGAGGGGAUUUUUUGAAAUACUAUAACCAAGCAAUUUCUGUAUACUCAUCUGGCUGGAAUGGAUUUAUCCACUGAGGUAAGCACUAAGAAAGGUCCUGUUAAUAUUUCUAGUCCGACUUAAAGUUAACUGCCAUGCAAGGAGUUACAAAAGAUAGAGAAGCUCCUGGAUUUAAUAAGGCAUGAAUAUGUAAAUGGAGAUCUGUAAUGUACCAGUGACCACAUCAGGAGAAUUUUCCUGAUCUUGUAUGGAUUGAAGUGCAUAAAAAACUUAUUUGGGUGUUGCCCACUGAUGGCACUGGAAGCGGCACCUUCCUAUUCAGGCGAUCGAACUGAGAUGAAAGACGAUUAUACUGACCUUGAGAACAUGACUGAGGACAAUCUUUGACUCUGUGGCCUGGCUUGUCACACCCGAAACAAAUAUCAUUGUCAGCUCUGCAGACACCCUUGUGGUUUCUGCCACAUGUCUGAUAAAGAGGAUUUGUUCGAGUAUUGCUAACACUAUCCUGAGACUUAGAGCCUGGAGAUCUAUCUUGGUUACCAUUUAUGAACUUAGGAACUGGAGAACUGGCUGAGGACGAAGCUGGGACUGAAGAUUUUGGGCGAAACUAGGAACGAUUACCUCCCUCUAACUUAGGCUGAUUGAAAUUAGAGCUACAUGUUCUAUCUCUCUUAUUCUGCCUCUCUCUCUCUGAUCUUAGAUUCUUCUAUCUGCUGAGCAUAGACCAUGAACCUAGAUAUGCCCAUUUUCUUAAUCAACAUCGCUAUUGUGCACUCUCUAACCACACUAUCUGACACCUCAGAUACAAACUUGCUUAUUCUGGACCUACUGUCUGCUACUACAUGAGGAGCAUACCUGACUAAUUGAGUAAACUUGAGGGAAUACUCUUUCACACUUAUACUGCCCUGCCAGAUAUUUAUAAACUCUAACACCUUGGCUUCUUUCAGCUCUAAGGGAAAAAAUUUAUCUAGAAAAGCGGUAGUAAACUCUUCCCACUCCAUGGGAUCUGUAUCUGCGCCCAUGUCUAUCUUCCACUGCUUAAACCACGUAUGAGCUUCAUUUUGUAUUUGAUAGGCAACUAACUUGGUACUCUUGCUAGAAGUCACUCCCAUAAUAUCUGUGACUUUCUGAACCUGAUCGAGGAACUUUCGGGGAUCCUCUUUUGGCUUGGAUCCUGAGAAUAGGGGAGGAUUCAUUCGGGUGAAGUCCCAAAUCCUGGAUAUAUUAGUAUUGUCACUGGGUUGACCUGAACAAUAGCUAGUCAUUUAUUCUGAGCUGCUACGAAAUUGGUUAGAGUAGUGAAUACAACUCUAAAUUCUACAUGGGAGACAUGCUCGUCCAGGUGAUCUGCCUGAACGGGCUGAGGUACUGACUAAAUAAAAGAAAGAAACGGAUUAGACUGAGAGUUUAACUUGAGCUCAUGCUCACGCUACGACAUGGAUACUGAAAGAAGGGAAACUUUUCCUAAAACAUCUCAAAGCCUCUUGUCCAUAAGUAUGGCAUGCUACACAUCAUGCACAAGACUCUACUAGAUGUGGCUUUCAGACUUCCUAGGACACUGUUGAACCUUAGGCUCUAAUACCAAGUUUGUAACGCCGUGAGUCUGUACCCAAAAUGUUACAUGGUCUUACGACCCCGAAGGACCACAAGCUAACCCAUGACUGAUAUCUGCUGUGAGCACUGAAACAUGAUACUGUAACAAAUGUGGAAAAAUAGGCUAAAAUGCCAUAAGGUUCAAAAUCUGUAAAUACUGCUAAAAUGUAUCAACUAAAAUAACAAUUUGUAAAACUGGACACUAUUUGAAAAUUAGUUUGAAAAGCCUCUAAUCUAAAUUGUCUGAAUGUGAAGUUGAUGGGACAAUCCCCCAACUAACUCCAUCUACUAAAAUACUGAAUCUGCUGUAGUAAUAAAAUGAAAGAAUAUCCUCGAAUGAUGAGGACUCACUACUAAAUCUACUGCUGGCUAAAUCUGGAUCUAUCUAUGUGCGGUCAGGAACCUGAGUGUCCGAACCUAUGAUAUAAGAUAUCAUAGCGCAAAGAAAGAGUAUACGUCAGUACGUGGAAUGUACUGGUAUGCUUGAUGAGGUAGGGCUGAACGCAAGGGUUCAUAUGUAUGAACAAUAACUGACUGUAUGAUAUAGAGUAACUAAACAUGAGAGUACAUGGCUAACUGAUACUGCUGUAAAUACUGAGUAUGCACUACUGUGCAUAUAACUAAAUAUUUUGACUAAGAUUGUCUGGAGGUAAGUCCUAAAUUCUGAUACUAAGUAACUGAUAUCUGAAUUUACUGAUAACUGAGUUACUAAUACUGAUUGAUAGUAUCUGACAGUCCUGAUUCUGUAGAACUGGAUGAGUUCUAUUCUGAAGACUGAGACUGUGGGAGGUAAUCAUCUAACCGACAUGCCCCAAAUAAGAUAACUGAGUUAGGGUCUAACCUGUGACCCCAAUUGUAAGGGCGUCAGUACCAUGCCAUGGGUAAAGAUACUAAAUAGUUACCCUCAUCUGACAGAUACUCUAAUGAGAAUGGUAGAACCCUCAUCUGCCAAGUUAAAACACCCCAUCAACCCUCAACUGGAAGGAUUGAUGUCUCAACCUACGUUUGCUACGUAGUUAUGGAAUGCAAGGAUUGCUUCUAGCGAUCACACCCUCUACUGACAGGUGAGCCCCCAUCCUUGGAUUCACUCGGUGCUGAAUCCUACUCCCAACUGAAAGACACUGAACUGAGUAUGCUGAACUGGACUGGACUGAUAUUGAGCUUACUGAGUUUUCCUGAGUUUGGUAACUAACUGAGUUCUAUAACUGACUGAGAGUACUAAUGAUCGUGACAUGACUGAGAUUAUGUCACUGACACUGGCUUUAGGCAUACAACUAAAUUGUCGGGUAUUAAAUACCCCCAGAACUCGAUAGUAUAAAAAAAAUAAAGCGUAAUAUACUCUUGAAAAUCAUAACAAUGUGUACUUAUCCAUAGUUCACUCACAGAGGCAUUUAAAAAAACAUUUGUAAUGCAUCUACUUAUACAUGAAUGGGAAAUACAUGCUAUCAUGUAAUAAUGAUACUAUUUCAUUCGCAUAAGCAGUUUAUAAAAAACAUGGGGAGCAUGAUUAGGUUAUACAAUAAUCAAAACAUAUAGUUAUCAUGGCUACAUCAAUGAACUUGCAAAUUGAAGGCUUUAUCAUGAAGAUCAUGUAAUUCAACACAUACAAUGAUUAAUUUCAUAAAAGCAUGUAAUUUAAUCAUGGACUAAAACCCAAUAAUAACAUGAGCAUGAAUUCAAUUCAAUUUAAGCAUGAAAGUUCAUAAUUCAACAAUCUUGUAUUUUGAAAACGGAUUCGUGGAAUCUAUGGGUAAAAAGAACCCAUUGAUGAAUAACUAACAUACCUUGGGUUAUUAGUUUUGAAGGUGCUUGAAGAAAUUCUUGAGUUUUGACCUUGAUUCUUGAAGCUAGGGUUUGUUUUCUUGAGCGAGAAUACUUGGAUUUGGGGGGGGGGGGGGGGAGGGGAUAAAGUGAAUAAUAACUUUAAAACAUUUUUAGGGAUUAAAUCUCGUAUCUAGACGUAUUAAACUCAUGGGAAAAGACCAAUUUAACCUCUGACGACACUUUUAAUUUUCGUUAAAAUUUUUGAAAUAAGCACCUGGCGUGACGCAGCUCUAUCACGCCGUGUCUCUGGAAAUUGCCAACUGAAAAAAUGUAUGAUGGCGCGACGCAAUGGUAUCGCAUUGCCACUUUGGUUGGGACCUGGAAGUUCACCACGACGCAGUAGAAUUGCAUUGGUACACUGUAAAUUGACAAAUAUGAAAACAAGCAUGGCGUGACGUGUCGGCAUCACGAUACCUCUCUGAAAACUAACAAUUGCCAUAUUGACAUACUCUGCAAUGCGCUACUGGCCUGAAUGACGGUGUUUAACGACUGAAACUUAAAAUAGCCAUAACUUCUCAUCCGGUUAUCGAAUUUAGGCGAAUUUUAUAUAGUUGGAAAGCUAAUUCAUUUUCCUACGCAAUGACAGGCUCUAAACUGAAAAAUACUGAGCGUUUCAAUAUUUUUAUAUUGGAUAACUCAUGAACUGAGAGUUAAGUUAAGCUUUAGAAAUACGGGGUAUUACAUGAAGAGAUUUGAUUUAUAAACUUUAUUUUUGGUCCAGAAACUAUACAUCCUUCAGGUUGAAUCAUAUAAAUUGCUUCUUCUAAAUCACCAUUUAAGAAAGCUAUUUUUACAUUCAUUUGACGGAUAAAAAAGCUUAUGAAUCGAUGCCAAUGCAAUUAAUAUCCGAAUCGAAGAAAUUCUUGUCAUUGAUGUAAAUGUAUCAAAAUAAUUAAUAUUUUAUUUUUGAGCAAAUUCUUUAGCUACUAAACGAUCUUUAUAUUUAUAUAUAGAUUCAUUAGAAUUAAGUUCCUUUUUAAAUAUCCAUUUACACUAAUAGGUUUUCCACCAGGAGGUAAUCUGUUAAAAUUCUUGUAUUAUUUUUUAUGAUAGAAUUAAUUUCAAUUUUUAUUGUCUCUUUCCAAAAUCUAGCAUUAGAAAAAGAUAUAAUUCAGAAUAAUUUAUUGGUUCAUUAUUAACAAGAAAACUUUGAAAAUCAUUUUCAUAAGAAAAAUAUUCUUUUGUAGGCCUUUUACUCUUCUCAAUUCCUCAAUAUUAGAGGUAGAUUCAUUUUCUCUUUCAACGGGUGCAUGAGAUAUUUUAUCACACAGUGAAAAAAUAUAUUCAAAGGAUUCAACAUUCCUUGUCUCAAUAAUAGUGUUGCUAUCAAGCACAUCACUUUUCAAAACAAGAAAUUUAUAUGCAACAUUAUGUUCAACAUAUCCAAUAAGCAUGCAAUCAACAGUUUUAGGGCCUAUUUUUCUUUUUGUUUUAGGUUCAUGUAAAAGAACUUUAGUAAGGCACCCCCAUACUUUUAAAUAUUUCAAAUUAGGUGUAUAACUUUUCCAUAAUUCAUAAGGGGUUCUACCAUUUCCUUUAUGAGGAAUUUCUAUUUUAAAAGUGACAUGUAGAUAAAAUAACUUCACCCCACAAAUUAUUAGAUGCAUUAGAGCUAAUCAACAUGGAGUUCAUCAUUUCUUUCAAUGUUUUAGUUUUUCUUUCUGCUACUUUAUUAGAUUGAGGUGAAUAAGGCGGAGUUACUUUAUGAAUAAUUCAUUCUUUAAAAACAAACAUUUAAAGAUAAGUAUUCAACACUUUUAUUAGAUCUUAUUCUUUUGAUUUUUCUACUAAGUUAUUUUUCGACUUCAGUUUUAUAAUAAAUAAAAGAGAAAAUGGUCUGUUACCCCCCCCUCCCAACCUUUAGUCGAAAUCCCAACUACACACUUAACCUUUUAAUGUGACCUAUUACCCCAUGAACUUAUUUUUAUCGAAUUUAUUAACCCCUCAGUUGCUGACCUGUCACUGGACAUGACUACACGCGCCCAUAGGCGCGUCAGUUGACUUUUUUUCGCUUUAAAAUUAUUAUUUUUUUAUUGCCACAUCAUUAUUUUUAAUAAUAAUUAUUUUUUCUUAAUAAAUAUUGACUUCUUCUUCAAUGGCUUCUUCUUCUCCUCCUCCUCCUCCUUCUUCUUCUUCUUCUUUUUCUUCUUCUUGUUCUUCUUCUUCUUCUUCUUCUUCUUCUUCUUCUUCUUCUUCUUCUUCUUCUUCUUCAAUGCCUUCAAUGGUGCAGCUUCAAUGGUGAAAUGCCGAUGAACGGUGAUGGCGCCGAAAAAUUCAAAAUUUCGUCAACUUUUUUUUGAUGAAUUUCACAUAAUUUGAUUCAACAUUUUGAUUCAACAUAUUGAUUCAACAUUCGAUUCAGCUUCACGCAAUCAAUGACAUUCGACUUUUUUCAUUCAACAUUCUCACAUAAUUCGAGUUCUUGGAUGUCAUUGAAGAAGAAGAAGAAGAAGAAGAAGAAGAAGAAGAAAUGCCAUUAAUGAGUUCUCACUUGAACUAACAACUUCGAUUCAAAAAAUUUGAAAAAAAUUAAGAACUUGAAUUCUUGAAUGAGGAGAUGAGGAAGAUGAUAAAUUAAUCUUGAAUGUCAUUGAUUAGUUCUUGGAUGCUAUUAAAGAAGAAAUGCCAUUGAACCCGAAUUAACUUGAAAAAAUUUAAGAACUUGAAUUCUUGAAUGAGGAGAUGAUGAAGAUGAUAAAUUAAUCUUGAAUUCUAUUGAUGAGUUCUUGGAUGCUAUUGAUGAAGAAAUGCUAUUGAUGGGUUCUUGGAUGAAAUUAAAGAAGAAGAACUGAAAAAAAGAAAUGAAGAAGAAGAAUUGAAGAAGAAAAAAGAAAAAUAACAAUUGCCAUUGAUGGGUUCUUGGGUGCCAUUGAAGAAGAAGAAGAAUUGAAGAAGAAGAAGAAAUAAAGAAGAAGAAUUGAAGAAGAAGAAGAAGAAAGAAAAAUAAUAAUUGGAAAAUAAUAAUGCUAAAUUAUUAUUUUUUUAGAGUAGAAAAAUAAAAAAUAACGUGGCAAUGACGUGGCAUGACGUGGUGGCGCGUGCAUCACACCAUAUUUGUAAUGACUGAUUGUCAGUUUUGUGGGGUUUAAUAAUUCUACUUUAAAAUAGUCCAGGAAGAUAAUAAUUCCACUUUAAAAUAGUUCAGAGGGGUAAUAGGUCAACUUUAAAUGUUGAGUGUAUAGUUGGGAUUUGAGGUAAAGGUUGGGGGGGGGGGGGGGGAGGUAACAGACCAUUUUCUCUAAAUAAAAGCAUCAAACGCGUCAUCUUUAUUUCUAAGUAAAUAUAACUAAGUAAAUUUAAAAAAAUUAUCAAUAAAAGUCACGUAAUAUCUUUUUCCACCUCUAGUCAUAGUUUGUUUUAAAUCACCCAAAUCAAUGUGAAUCACGAUAAUAAUUUUGUUUCUCUAUCAAGUGAAAAAUAUAACUUUUUAGUAAUUUCAGCUUCCACACAUAUUUCACACUUAUCAAUAUUAUUAGAGUCCAAGCUAGAUAUUAAAUCAAGUGAUUGCAUAUUCUUUAUGUUAGAGAAAUUAGCAUGUUCAAAUCUAGCAUGCCAUAAAGAAAUAAAUUCAGUCAUACAAGUAGAAGUAGAUGUUUUUUUCUUACAAAUAUUAAAAAUAUUGAGUACAAAAAAUCCCUGAUUACAAUAGCUUUUUCCCAUAAAUAUAUUAUUUUUUGUCAAUAUCAUUUUACCUAACCCAAAUGACAUUUUUACUCCACCUUGUUUAGCAAAACUACAGACAUCAGGUUUGUCUGCAUUGUAGGAGCAUGUAGCACAUCCACGGGGGCUAAAAAAAUUUUUGAAGUGAGUUUUAGGAGCAUUUUACCUUUAUCCAAGACUUAAGUAGUUUUUGAAUUGUCAGGGUAAACCACUUCACUAUCAUCUCCUAUUAGUGUCAACAACAACAACAACAACAACAAACCCAGUGUAUUCCCACCUAGUGGGGUCUGAGGGGGGGGUAAGAUGUACGCAGUCCAUACCUCUACCUCUGAUGAAGUAGAAAGGCUGUUUUCGAUAGACCCCCAGCUCAAGGCACGAGAUACCACACAAACACAUAGUAAAGCACAGAAGCAGAUUACAUAACAUAAAUACGGCACCCAUAAGUAAUAUAAAACAGAGGAAAACAGAGGAAAGCACACAGAUUCGUAAUAAAACAUGGAACACGGAACACAGAAUCAUAACAGGAAUAAAACCCCCACCAAGUAAUUCCCUACCCUAGCGACCCAAACCGGCCCUAANNNNNNNNNNNNNNNNNNNNNNNNNNNNNNNNNNNNNNNNNNNNNNNNNNNNNNNNNNNNNNNNNNNNNNNNNNNNNNNNNNNNNNNNNNNNNNNNNNNNNNNNNNNNNNNNNNNNNNNNNNNNNNNNNNNNNNNNNNNNNNNNNNNNNNNNNNNNNNNNNNNNNNNNNNNNNNNNNNNNNNNNNNNNNNNNNNNNNNNNNNNNNNNNNNNNNNNNNNNNNNNNNNNNNNNNNNNNNNNNNNNNNNNNNNNNNNNNNNNNNNNNNNNNNNNNNNNNNNNNNNNNNNNNNNNNNNNNNNNNNNNNNNNNNNNNNNNNNNNNNNNNNNNNNNNNNNNNNNNNNNNNNNNNNNNNNNNNNNNNNNNNNNNNNNNNNNNNNNNNNNNNNNNNNNNNNNNNNNNNNNNNNNNNNNNNNNNNNNNNNNNNNNNNNNNNNNNNNNNNNNNNNNNNNNNNNNNNNNNNNNNNNNNNNNNNNNNNNNNNNNNNNNNNNNNNNNNNNNNNNNNNNNNNNNNNNNNNNNNNNNNNNNNNNNNNNNNNNNNNNNNNNNNNNNNNNNNNNNNNNNNNNNNNNNNNNNNNNNNNNNNNNNNNNNNNNNNNNNNNNNNNNNNNNNNNNNNNNNNNNNNNNNNNNNNNNNNNNNNNNNNNNNNNNNNNNNNNNNNNNNNNNNNNNNNNNNNNNNNNNNNNNNNNNNNNNNNNNNNNNNNNNNNNNNNNNNNNNNNNNNNNNNNNNNNNNNNNNNNNNNNNNNNNNNNNNNNNNNNNNNNNNNNNNNNNNNNNNNNNNNNNNNNNNNNNNNNNNNNNNNNNNNNNNNNNNNNNNNNNNNNNNNNNNNNNNNNNNNNNNNNNNNNNNNNNNNNNNNNNNNNNNNNNNNNNNNNNNNNNNNNNNNNNNNNNNNNNNNNNNNNNNNNNNNNNNNNNNNNNNNNNNNNNNNNNNNNNNNNNNNNNNNNNNNNNNNNNNNNNNNNNNNNNNNNNNNNNNNNNNNNNNNNNNNNNNNNNNNNNNNNNNNNNNNNNNNNNNNNNNNNNNNNNNNNNNNNNNNNNNNNNNNNNNNNNNNNNNNNNNNNNNNNNNNNNNNNNNNNNNNNNNNNNNNNNNNNNNNNNNNNNNNNNNNNNNNNNNNNNNNNNNNNNNNNNNNNNNNNNNNNNNNNNNNNNNNNNNNNNNNNNNNNNNNNNNNNNNNNNNNNNNNNNNNNNNNNNNNNNNNNNNNNNNNNNNNNNNNNNNNUUCAUUAAACAAUCCAGUCAACCAUCUUACACCAGCCUCUCCAACGAACUUCCAAAACUCCACCGGUAUCUCAUCCGGCCCCGUCGCCCUACCCCUUCGCAUCCUGCGGACAGCCUAUCUAACCUCUUCUACCUUAAAACGUCUGCAAUAGCUAAAAUCCCGACACUCCUCUGAGUGCUCCAGCUCCCCUAACACAAUAGCUCUAUCCCCUUCGUCAUUCAAGAGCCUAUGAAAAUACGACUGCCAUCUCUUCUUAAUGUGGCCGUCCUCCACCAACACUCUACCGUCCUCCCCCUUAAUGCACCUCACCUGAUCGAGGUCACGACCCUUCCUCUCCCUAGCCUUAGCGAGUCUAAACAACUUUUUCUCCCCUCCUUUCUCCUGUAACCCUGCAUACAAGCUCUCAAAAGCCGCCGUCUUAGCUGCCGUGACUGCUGAAUAGAAGGAAAAUGCUUCUCGAUUCGCAAAGAUGUGCCGAGUAGCCCUAGAGUCUAUCAUCCAUUUUUUUUAUGAGCUGCAAUAUUUACUUUAUGAUAGCUACAAUAAUAUCAUCCCCUUCAGCUAAGUUAGUUUUAGGAGGGUAACUAUUUUUUUGUCAUUUCUUAUUCUUUUUUUGCAUUUCUUAAAAUUGGCAUUAUUAGGCUUAUAACCUUGAGACUUAUUAUCAUAUCUUUUGUUGUUGUUGUUUUGGCCUUACGCUAAGUUUGCCUUAAGUGCUAGCUUUUUUGCUUUAAAUAACUCUUUUUGAUUGGUGUCUUCAAUUAAAAUACGAGUCACUACCUCUUCUACACUAAAAUUUUUUUGCUUAGGUUUUAAGCUAUUUUUGUAGUCAUUCCACGAGUCAGGUAACUUCUCGAUCAACACUCCUACUAUAUUUUUCUGUUGAGAGAUUCCUUCGACCUUCAGAUCUUCAAGCAAUUUUGAUAUUCGUUGAUUUGAAUUUUCAUCUCCUUCACAUCAAUCAUCUGCCAGUGAUAAUAAUAUAUUUUUUGAGGAGGGGGUUGAGGGCCUAAUAGUGUUGGGGGUCGGGGAUGGGGAGUGAUGAUAUAAGGUAAAGAGUAAAAUAGCAUUAUGUAAUUUAAGUAAGAGUAUAACUGCAAAAAAUAAAAAAAAUCAUGGGAUGCCACCAAAUCGGUGGUUAUAUAAAGUGAGGAUUUUUCAUGGUUACCAAACCAUGAAAUUAAACUAUACCAUACCAUACAUUUUAAGAAACAAUUAAUACAAACAUGGUUCUCUUAUUAACCAUACCACACCAUACUAUGUUAAACCACCAUCCAAACAUUGUGUAAAACACAAUCAAACAUCGUAUAAAAUUAAUACAUGAAUAACUUUUAUACAACAUUUUGAAACUUGCUAAACAAACAUGUAUAAAAUUAAUGCACGAAUGACUUUUACCCCAUUUGCAAACUAAACAUUGUAUAAAAUUAAUACAUGAAUAACCAAGUUAUUCAUGUAUUAACUUUGAAUUUAUCCCAUAUCUAAACGACUACUACAAGUUCUGCCUUAUAGGCAAAUGCUAAUACUUGGACAAAAAUACAAUACCACGUACUUUAGAAACAAAAAUUCAAAUAGCAUACAUUUUGAGAUACAAAAAUUCAAGACCACCACAUACUUUAAGGGGUCACUUGAUAGGAUUCAUUAGAAAAAAUAAUACAUGCAUUGACUUUGUGUAUUAUUAGUAUCUUGUUUGACAAAAUUUUUCAACCUAUGUAUAAACUAAUGCAUUAGUCAUACACACUAUUGUGUAUUAUGCUAUGCAUAACUAAUACAUGAGAAAUCCUUGAUUUUAGCAACACAAGAGACUUAAAAGUUAAAUGCAUGCAUUAACAUGGAUAAAGACACAAUAGCUCCUCAAAAUCUUUUCACACCAUUUUCAUUAUAUUUAUGGAAGAUAUUAUUGUAAAUAAUUUUUAUAUUUAAAAAUAUACAAUGUCCGUCAUUUUAACACAUUAAAGUAAAUACUGCAUAAGAAAUAUUCUCAGCACAAUUAAUACUUGCAUUACUAAUGGAAACAUUACUCACAAAUAUAUCAUAUUUUGCACUGUAAACCCUACCAAACGACCCCUAAGGAGUCGGGUGUAAUUUAGUUUGGUCCAAUUCCAGGUCAGCCCGACCCGAUUAUCACCCUUUAGCUCAUACUGAUUAGUUCCAUCCAAACACACCUUUCCCGCCAUAUGUUCCUUAUAUAUAUACCCUAGUCCUUCUUCACGCUUUUCGAGAUAUAGACACACUGUACAGUUUCUACUUGUUUGCCGUCGGUUCAAUUGCUAUAUACAUUCAAUUAUCGAGUGAACCGGCAGUGUAAUAGAAGAAAAUGGCGGCGUCUAGGGUUCCUUCAGAGAGGCCGAAGAGUAUACAAGCUGGUAUAAUUUCGAAAAUUCGAUUGGAGAAUUUCAUGUGUCACAGUAAUCUCGAGAUCGAUUUCGGCGAUUGGGUUAAUUUCAUCACUGGGCAAAACGGAAGUAAGUUCUUUGUCCUCUCUUUGUAUUCGAGUUAUCGUAGUAGUGGAUGAUUCAUGAUUUUAAGUUUAUGAGUUUCGUAAUGCUAAUGAAAUCGUUGAUCAUUUGAGUUAGUUGUUUAUUUAGUAGGUGUUCCCCAUAUAUAUAGAGUGAGCUAAAUUCAUUGUGUAUUUGCCUUUUUUGUUUUUUUGAUAACGUGGUGUGUGGGCCAGCUUUUAGCUUUCGCGCACCUCGGCUAAAUUGCGGGAUACCUACUACCUCCCGCCAUAAAUAGAUAUUAAGUUUGAGUUAGUUGGUUAUUUAGUAGGGUUUGCAACACACAUAUGGAGUUUGAGCUAAAUUUAUUGUGUAUUUGCCUUUUUUGUUUUAUGAUAACGUGGUGUCUGGCCAACUUUUAGCUUUUGUGCACCUCGACUAAAUUCGUAGGAUACCUAAUACCUCCCAUCAGAAUUAGAUAUUAGGUUUGAGUUAGUUGGUUAUUUAGUAGGUUUUUCAACACACAUAUAGGGUUGAGCUAAAUUUAUUGUGUAUUUGCCUUUUUUUUUGGAUAAUCGUGCUGUCUGGCCAACUUUGGUGUACCUUGACUAAAUCCACGUGAUACAUGCUACCUCGCACAAGCAACAAAUAUUAGGUUUGAGUUGGUUAUUUGGUAGGUUUGUCAACACAAUAGAUAUGGUUUGAGCUAAAUUUAUUGGGUUUGGUUGAACCCAUAAUUUUAAUGUGUAUUUGCCCCUUUUUUGAUAACUGUUUGGGGUCAGCUUUCACGUACCUCAAUUGAAUCCACGGGAUACCUGCAACCACCCACCAACAAUAGAUAUUAGGUUUGAGUUAGUUGGUUAUAUUCUCAACACAUAUACAGGAUUUGAGCUAAAUUAUUGCGUUUGGUUGAACUCAUAGCUUUAAUUGUGUAUUUGCCCUUUUUUUGAUAACUGUGGUGUCUGAUCCAACUUUGUGCUCCUCGACUAAAUUCACGGGGUACCUGUGAUCUCCCACUAGCAAAAGAUAUUAGGUUUGACUUAGUUGGUUAUUUAUUAGGUUUUUCAACAUAAUAUAUGGAGUUUGAACUAAAUUUAUUGGGUUUGGUAAUAGCUUUAAUUGUGUAUUUGCCUUUUUUUUAUAAUUGUGGUGUCCGGGUCAGCUUUUACACGCCUCGACUAAAUCUACGUGAUACGUGCUACCUCCCACUAGCAACAAAUAUUAGGUUUGAGUUGGUUAUAUUUAGUAGUUUUUUCAACACACAUAUAGGGUUUGAGCUAAAUUUAUUGGGUUUGGUUGAACCCAUAGCUUUAAUUGUGUGUUUUGCCCCCUUUUUUUGAUACGUGGGGUCCGAGCUAGCUUUCGCGCAUCUUGACUAAAUCCAUCGGAUAUUUGCUACCUCUUACCAAUAAUAGAUAGUAUACUUGAGUUAGUUAGUUAUUUAGUAGGUUUCUCAACACAUAUAUAUAUAGUUUGAGCUAAAUUUGGGUUUGAUUGAAUCCAUAGCUUUAAUUGUGUAUUUUCCUUUUUUUGGAUAACCAUGGUGUUUCGGUCAACUUGUUUGCACCUCAACUAACUAAAUCCGUGGGAUACCUGCUACCUCUUAUCAACAACAGAUAGUAGAUUUGAGUUAGUUGGUUAUUUAGUAGGUUUCUCAACACAUAUAUAGAGUUUGAGCUAAAUUUAGGUUUGAUUGAAUCCAUUGCGUUAAUUGUGUAUUUGCCCUUUUUUUUGAUAACCGUGGUGUUCCGGUCAUCUUUUGUGCACCUCAACUAAAUUCAUGGAAUACUUGUCACCUCCCACUAGUAAUAGAUAUUAGUCAACUCUGUCCACCAAAGGGAGGACAAAUGGAAAGAAUCACAGUGUUUUUUCGUCUCUGCUGGGAUUUGAACCCGAGACUUCAUUGUGCCCAAUUCACGUCAUCGACCACCAGACCACACCUUUGAGUGCGUAAUUGUGUAUUUUCCCUUGCGCACACACUAGUCCUAUGAACAACAACAACAUAGCUAGUGUAAUUCCACAAGUGGAGUCUGGGGAGUGCUUAAAUGUGUAUUUUCCCUUGCGCACACACUAGUCCUAUGAACAACAAUAGCAUAGCCAGUGCAAUUCCACAAGUGGAGUCAGGGGAGAGCAGUGAUAAUGGAGUAAAAUAUUUUAUUCAUAAACUCAAAUAAGUUCUCCUCAAUAGAAAUACCUAGCAACAUAUAAAUACCAAAUCCUAAACAAAUUUGGUGCUUGUUUGGGAUUGCUUAUUUUCCCCAAAAAGCACUUAUUUUGAGGAAAAAUCACAUUUUUUGAAAAAAAAAAGCUGUUUGGUAAACUUGCAAAUGUGCUUUUAAAAAGAAGCAGAAACAUUUUUUCUGCUUCUGGGAAGAAACAAAAAUUUUGUUUUUUCAAAAAAAGCAGAAGCAGGAAAUUAUUUUUUUCAUGAAAAAAAUAUCCUUAUGACUUUCUCUCUCUCACACACACAUACAUAUAUGUAUGUAUGUAUCCCUUAUUAAUUAAUUAACAUCUCUUAUAAGUUUGAUUUUAAAAUUUUAUACUUCAUAUUUACAUCAUAAUUUUGUAUUGUAUUUUAUGAUUUAUAUAUUAUUAGUUUAUUUUGACUCAUUUUCUUUAAAUAAACUAGUACACGUACCCCUCGCGAUGCGCGGACGUUAUGAAAGAAUUUUAAUAGUUUGAAAAUUAAAUCAUUUUGAUUUUAUUAGAAUAUAAUCAUUAUCUUAUUUUUCGAUGCAAAAUGUACAUAAUGACAUAUAAUUUAUCAAAUAUAAAUACAUAUGAACAAUCAUCAAAUAACUUUUAAAUUUUAUUUGCUUUGAAAAUUUUAAAUUACCGUAAAAUUUUGUGUUACGUAUGAUAACAUUUAGAGUUUGUUGAUGAAUUCAUAAAAUUAAUUAACAUGAUUAGAAAUAAAGUUCAAUCAUAUUGAUGAAUAGAAAGACUUUAAUCAAUAAUUAUUACUUAAUUACAUAUUUUACUAAUAGUUUAUAGCAUAAAAAUAGUGAAUUAUUAACUUAAAUUCAUAAUAACAAAUAGUAACCAAAAUUGCACAUAAAAUUAAAUCUAUCAAAUUGAAAUGAAUUUUAAAAAUUCAAACGACAGAUGGGAACAAAUUAAGAAUUACUCUGUGAUAAAUUGCCUCUAUGCGGCCUAUUAGUUCAAACUGUGGAAACAAUUUCUUGCAGAACUGCACGGUAAAACUGCAUAUAAUAAGUCCUUGUGGUUCAACCCUUCCCGUACCAUUUGUCUAUCGAUAGCUUUAGUGUCCUAAACUAUCUUUUUUUAAAGAAAAAUAUUUUGUAAUGCUUUUCUUUAAAAAGGAAAAUGAAAGGAAAGUUUAUAUGUCGUAUUUACUAUACAGACAUGAACAAUAACCAAAACAGAUAAAAAUUACAACAUAGGACCAAAAUAAAAGAAUUUGAUCAUCAACCGAUAUCUCAGUAAUGUAGCAUUAUAUUAUUUCUUCCUCCCAUGGUGUAACAAUUCUUCACGUCAAUAUUUAACACACUUCGCCAUCAAAAUUCGUGGAGUAAAUACGAAUUGUUGAUAAGCACAGUAAUAAUGAAGUAGUUUAAAAAAUAUUUAUCUUCAAUAAUAAGUGUUAAGAUAAUCAUAAAGAAUUAUACUAACUACUAAGCCAUCAACGAAUAGAUUUAAAAAGAAAUCAUUCGGACAUUUAUUAGCAUAUAUGGCUGUUGGAGGAUUCUGUGUAUGCUAACAUUAACGAAUAGACUUAAAAAGAAACCAUCCUUAGCAUAUAGAUAUCAUUUUGAAUCCUGUGACAAAUUAGUAUUACAAAAAAGUGAAUAAAGAGACCUAUAAAUAUUAAGCAAAGUCGAUAUGACAAUUUUAUCGAAUUAACAACUAUCAAAAUUAAAAUUUCAUAUCAUAUACAAAACUAUAAGUAGCCCUUCCUAUACCACUUUAAUUUAUACACUUUAAAAAGUUCAGUUUUUUUUUUUUUUUUUGUUGUUGUUAAUUUACCUGGAAAAAAAUUAAGAGAGAUAAUUUUUGAAAUGAAUUGUUGACAUAAAAAUAAUCCUAUGUAGACGUUCAUUAAAAGUGAGAUUAAUAAUAUAAAUAAUAAAGCAGAUAAAUUAUAGUGGUGGUGAAGGAGAAAAUAUUAAUCACACCAUGGUGGAGACAUAAAUGGUGAGGCCUUUUGUAAUUUGAAAGGCAACUCUACAUGAAUAUAAUAGUGAGUCGAACAUCAACUCCCAACUGGUACUUGAAGAGAAAUUAACAGGUCUCCUCGUUUCAUUUAAGUGAAUACAUCUAGUCAAAUCAUAAUGGCUAUAAAUAUCAUUCACCCUAAGUUACUCUUAUUAUGUUUUUUUCAAUAUGCUGGCUCUAUCCAAAUAUGAAGACGUUAGAGUAGUUUAUCACCAAUGCAGACAAAGGUCAUGAGUGACGACAUGCAAAACAUAGACAAAAAAGAUAUGAAAGUACGUUAUAGCGAUGAUAAUUUUAUAUACAGAAGUAAUUACAUGCACAAAGCAAUUCAUCUUAUCACCAGUGCAGACGAAGGUCAUGAGUAACGACAUGCAAAACAUAGACAAAAAAUAUAUGAAAGUACGUUAUAGUGAUGAUAAUUUUAUAUACAAAAUAAUGGUAAUUACAUGCACAAAGCAAUUCAUCUUACUUGUAGGAUCCUCGAUGGAACUAUCUCAUCUCCGCUUUAGCCAACAUACAACCCUUCCUUGAAUGAAACAUAAUUUCAUGCACAAAGCAAUAUUUUGAGUGACAAAUGCAUCACAAUUGUUGAUUUAAUUGAAUGGGUAUAUAGAAUGCAAUUGAGAUAAUCGAGUAGUUGAGCUCUUAAAAAGAAGGAUAUGUUAAUGAGGACUGAUUUUGUGAUGGAAUGUGCCAUAAAUUUAGGGAAAGUUCUAAACUGUUGCAACUGUUUCUCAAAUAUUUUAUCAGAUUGUAACCGUGUUUCUAAUACUUUUAAUUUUAUAUAUGAAAUUAGGAUAUGCAAUUUUUAAAAAGAGAAAUAAAUCCAGCACGAAAUAAAUAUCAACCAAUCAGUAUUCUGAUUACGUCAAUUCAAAUGCAAUUUUCAAAUGGAAAAAAAUAGAGUUCAAAUUAAUAAGGAUGAAUUCAACAUCAGUUUCUUAUAAUGAUUAAUGACAAAUUUAUUUGUUUAUUUCAAAUAAAUUUUCAAAAUGGAUAAUGACUAAAUUUUUUCAAGUAUUUUUUAUCCUUAAUAUAGAGACAUAGAUAUAAAAUAACUGUCAUUUAGGUUAUGUGGUGUGUUUAUCCCUUUUUUUCGUGUGGUAGUUUUUUUUUUUUUUUAUAGUUUUUUUUUUCUAAGUUUUAAUUUUAAUUUUUAAUUAAUUUAAUGGAAAAUGUUGUUUUUUUAUGGUGAUGACAUGUGUCGUUUUUGCUUCUGUUUUUAUAUAUAGAUAGAUUUGAAAAUAUUAUUGAUGAUGAUGACAGAAGAAUGUAUAACUUAUUAUUUUUUAUUAUUAAUGAUAACAAAUGACAAAUGAAUCACGUUACAAGAUUGUAUUUUGACAGCACUUGUAAAUUCUUUUUUGAAUAUUUAAUUUUAAAUAAAUAAUUCAUGAAAAGUGAUAUUUAAAUUAUUUAAGUGAUAUAUCAUUAUUUAAUAUUUUUAAUGUAUUUAUGUAUACAUUUUUUGAAAAUUUUAGAGUACGUACUUUUUGAUUAAAUAAAAAUAAAAUUUUAAUUAAAAAUAUUAUAAUAGUUAUUUAAAAUAAAUUUUCUCUAUAAAUUAAUUUUAGUAGUAAAAGUCUAUUGAUACAUGUCUUUUUUGGUCAUUUGUCUCAAAAAAGCACUCUUGGAAAAAAUUAUCCAAACACAAUCUGUUUAUCAAAAGCACUUUUCAAAUGAAUUUACCAGACACAAAUUGCUAUUUUUUCAAAAGCACUUUUUGAAAAGCUAUUUUAUAAAAGUGCUUCUCAAAUAAACAGUUUUGUAACAGCAAUCCCAAAUGGGCUCUCGGUUUCCUGUUCCAACUUUGAAUAAUUCUUCCACCAGAGAAUUCAUCUUAUGUACGAUUGAAGUUUAUGGGUAUGGAAUGCCAUUGAACUGGCUGAUCAAUUGAGUUAUUGGGAUCGGAACUUUAAUGCUAUAUAUUUAGUAGGUUUCUUGACACAUAUAUAUAUGGUUUGAGCUAAAAUUACUGGCUUUGGUUGAACACUUGAACUCUGAGCCUUAAUUGUGCAUCUGCCCCGACCCACCUACGAGUCCUCUGUGAGGGUGCAACUUAAGUAGAAGUUAAAAUUUUAUGUGUUCGGAUUGCCACUGAACUGGUUGACCAUCUGAGAUAGUGGGUUCAAACUUUAAUACUAUAUAUUUAGUAGGUUUCUUAACACAUAUAUAUGGUAUGAGCUUAAGUUACUGGGUCUGGCUGAACUCAAAGCUUUAAUUGUGCAUCUGCUUCUGGCCAUCCACUAGUCCUCCGUGAGAGUGCAAUUUACCCAAAAAUAAAAUUCUUCUGUGAGAAUUCAUGCGGGCUUAUAAAUAUAUCUUUUCAAAAUUUAUCAACUAUAUGUAUAAGGUAGAACUGGUAAAGUUGCUGCCAUGUGACCAGGAGGUCACGGGUUUAAGCCUUGGAAACAGCCUCUGACAGAAAUGCAAGGUAAGGCUACGCACAAUACACCCUUGUGGUAGAGCCCUUCCCCGGACCCUGCGCAUAGCGGGAUCUUUAGUGCACCGGGCUGCCCCUUUUUAUGUAUAAGGUAGAACUAUAUGUAUGAGGUAGAACUGAUAAAGAUUUCUUUUUUCGAUUCAUCAUAUUUCAGAAUUUAAGGCUAGUGGGUAUACCCUGCUAUUGAGUGUGGACUUGGUAAAAAUUUGAACUAGUUUCCUUUGCAAAGCAGGAAUACAAGUGGUAGAACUUGUCUGUUGGUGCUUACAAGUACAACUUCCCCAAAUUCUUAUUCCCCUAGUGUGUAUGCGGAUUACUUAUUGAAAAGGUGCUCUUGUUCGUCUUCUCUACUUGUAUAGCGGGAAUUACAGAUAGAUGGUUCACUCUCAGUAAGUUGGAUUAGAAUGACACUUUAAGAUCACAGCCGAGGGAAUCCUUCUAUCUGCUUUUAGUAGUAUGACUUGAGACCAAAUAACUUAGUUAUUUUGGUUAAUUUCAAAACCUUUAGUACUAUGUAUGUGUGAAUCAUUGACUAAGUUGGUGUUUGCUUUUAUUAUCUUUUCCUUAAUGUGGCUUGAGAUGAACUAGUUUGUUGUUCGUGUAUCUGCUUUUGAUUGGUUUAGGUGGGAAAAGUGCUAUACUGACAGCAUUAUGUGUGGCAUUUGGUAGCCGUGCUAGAGGCACACAAAGGGCCAAUACACUAAAGGAUUUUAUAAAGACGGGCUGCAGGUUUAUUAUUGUUUGAUUAUCCUUAUCUCAUGCUAUUUUUCAAAGAAGCAUUUAUUAUCCUCUAUUUUUUAUUAUUGUGUUAAAAGUCUUGUUUUUGAUGGAAGGUUAGUUGGGAGUUAACAUACUAAUUCACUGCAACAUUUUUUUUUUCAUUUUUUUUUAUUUCUAUUCCCCUCGGGUGUGGAGAGGGUACAUUGCAAGAUGGUGUUCUGAAUUUCUUUUGACUUAAAACCUACCUUGCGGAGUGUAUUCCACAUGUUAGUUCAUGGGCAAUACAGUGAAUUUAAAGAUGCUGCCAUGGUUUCAUCAACCAUAUGUUAGUAAUAUGUUCUUUUCUGAUAGCUUACCUUUGAAGUUUGCUGCAUGACGAACUUCUCUUAAAUUUCAUAAUAUGCAAGCCCAAAUUAAUCCAGUUAGGGGGCAAAUUUGCAGAAUUGACUUUAUAUCAUUAUGCUCGAUUCUGGUGGAACAAGUUGAUUGCUAAGUUGUUGGCAACCUGGAGCAUGAUGCGUUAGUCUAUUGAGCCCUGAACUUUCAUGAUCAAUUGCAUCCAUGAAUACUGGUGGCACUUGGUGUCCUCCUUGCUGUCAUGGUUAAGGAUUAGUUGUUAGUUGACCGUUAUAACCUUGCAGAUCAUAUAAUUCUGACGUGUAUAUUUAGCUGAAGUUCAUAAUAGUGGCUAAAGAAGCUUUUCAGUUUAUUUUCUAGUUUUUUAAAAAUUCUGUUUGAACGAUUAAAAUAAAGGAGAAAUUACUGUUAGAAUCAACGAAGAAAAGCUUUAGAGGAAAUGCUCGUCUGGUGUGAUUCAUGUCUAAAAGAAAGUUAAGGCCAUUCAACAGGGAGAUUCUGAAAUUGCAGAGGCUUGGUUCGAUCAAGCCGCUAAGUAUUGGAAAUCUGCAGUAUAUACCCACCCAUGUUAUUUAAACAUGAAAGGCAAACAUUUCUCUUCUUUCCUUAAUUUUUCCAAAAAGAAUGAAGAAAGAAAUUUAAUGUGUAGACACAGAAUGUUUCUCGUCUUUUCAUAAUGUAUCAACAACAACAACAUACAUAGUGCAACCCACAAGGGGUGUCGGAGGAGGGUAGAAUCUACACAAACCUUAUCCCUACCUUUGUGGGGCUAGAGAGGCUGUUUCUGAUAGAUAUUUGGCUCAAAAGAAAAUAAGAUUCGAAGCGCAGUUACAAGAAAAAGACACAAAUGAAGCAACAGAUAAUAAUACACAAUAAUACACUCGGCUACCUGCGAACCUUCUAUUUUAAUCCUCAACUUCGAUGCCUUGCUAUUUAGGGUUAUGUUCUUAGUAAGCUGAAGGUGUUCCAUCUCCUGUCUAAUCACCUUUCCUAGUUUUUCUUUGACAAACCUCUAUUCCUUCUAACUUCUAUUAUAGCCAACCUUUCACACCUUCUUACGCAGUGUAUACAUGCACCUACUCUUCACAUGCCAAACCAUCUCAGUCUCGCUUCCCUCGUCUUUUCUGCCAUAGAGGCCACUCUCACUGUGCCCCGUAAUGUAGAAAAGUGAAAACAAACAAAUGGAUGCAUAAUAUUUUAAAUAUAUAACCAAGAAUUAAUUUUUUUUAUGAAGAAGGAAAUAAAAACUGUUCACAGUUGCUACACUCUACAGAUAUCUGGAAUAUGUUUCUCAAUUUCUUGGACUCUAUUGGGUCAUGCCCCAGAAAAUCUGAGAAGCUUAUGAGUGUUGGAGUUGUUGGAAAGUUGGUAAAUCCAUUCGGAAUAUCUUGCAGAUGUUGCCCGCUUGUUUUUUGGUGUGUUUGGAUGGGAAGAAAACUGGAGAUGCUUUGAUGGAAUAUCAACUCCAAACCACUUCUGUAAAGGCUAGGUGUACCUCCUUUAUGUUUUUGGACUUUGUCAGCUAGCUUAGGUCCAUUGUAAUGCAGCUGUCACCCUCCUUUUUUGCACCCUAUGUAUUUUGUUCAAUAUUGAUAAAGUGUGUAACCAUCUCAUCCAAAAGCUUAAACUGACCAUCUCAUCUAAAAACUUAAGCUAUUAGAGAGAGAGCACACUUUUAUUAUUUAAUUAUAUUCUCAACACGCCCCCUCACGUGCGGACUUGAUUUUUUUUUUAACGGCCCAAACACGUGGAUUUUUUUUUAAUAAUGGGUGGUGGUGAGAUUCAAUCCUAGGAGCUCCGGCUGCUCUUAUACCAUGUUGAGUGUAUGACCAUCUCAUUUAAAAGCUUAAGCUUUUAGAGAGAGCACACUUUUGUUACUUAAUUCAACAUAUAUGCAUCUUCUUGAUGCGCCAUUUAAGAAAACUAAUUUCUCUCUCUCAUAUAUAUAUAUAUAUAUAUGUAUAUAUGUAUCUAUGUAUACGUACAUUUAUACAUAUAUAUAUAUAUAUAUACAUACACACCUAUAUAUUAAGAAGAGACAUGGACAUGGUGAAGUGGCAUAUACCAAAAACCAAGGCAUAUCCCAAAAACCAACAUUUCAUUUAUCUUUUUUCCUCAAUUUUUUGAGUUUUUUCUUACAUUUAGUAUAGUCAAAUAAAUAUGUCAAGGCUGAUAAAUAUGACACAACAUCACAACGUUUCCAAAAAAGAAAUACUAACGUUCUGGAAAUUAAGGCUACUAAAUAUGAACCAGUAAUAAUACGCUUCCAAAAAUCAAUGUUAACAUUUCCAAAGAUUAAGCUAUAAUUGCAACACCAUAAUAAGGAGAAAGACAACAUUUCAAAACUCUAAUGCCAAACCUUUGUCUUUUCAAACUUAAAAGCAUUUUUGAAGGUAAAAUAAAAUCAUUUUUUACUAUCUAAUUUCAACUGUUUGUCCUUCGCUGGUUAAAACUUAAAAAAGACUGUCCCAAUAUUUCCAUCCAUGAUCCACGUAUAAAUUUUUUCUUCAGUUCUCUAAUACAAAACUUGUGAAUUGUGAGGCUGCUAUGUUUUCUUCACGUAAAGGAUGUUUACCUUCUCGCUGGUUCUUCCUCUUCCUUACAAUUUUUUGGGAAGUAUGGCACUUGCAUCACUUAAACAAAAAACAAAUAAUAAUGUAUUAAUGUGUCUACAUCAGUUCAUGGUGGUGGCCGAAGUAAUAGUGGUGAAGAUGCACCACCAUCAGUUUCUCCGGUAAAAAGAUUGUUACAUGUAAUGCAUGAUAAAACUAUGUACUUUUGAUUAAAAAGUGGAGUUAAAUUGAUCUUUCUGUAACAUCUUUUCAUUUUUUUAUAACUGUUGUGUCUGAGCUAGCUUGCGCGCAUCUCGACUAGUUCUACGGGAUACCUGCCACCUCCCACUAGCAACAAGUACCACGUAACUUUGCCCAUCAAGGGAAGAAAUCACCUAGUAUUUGUCCUUGUUGAGAAUUUAACCUGAGACCUCAUGGUGCUCAAUCAAAUUUCAUUGAACCACUAGGUCACACCCUUGGGUGAACAUCUUUUCAUUUGAUAGUUAAAAUUUAGGCUAUUGUUUCUCUUUUAAUAAUCAUGAUGUCUGAACUAGCUUCCGCACACCUCGAUUAAAUCCACGGGAUACUCGCCACCUCCCACCAGCAAGAAAUAUCAGGUAACUCUAUCCACCAAGGCUAGGACAGAAAGAAUCACCUAGUGUUUUUUGUCUCAGCUGAGGUUUGAACCUGAGACUUCAGUUCUCAACCCACUUCAUUGACCACUAAACUUUACCUUUGGGUGCUACAUUUUCUUUUGGUUUGGAUUUAUACGGAAUAAAGGGAUCAAAAGUUUUAAUUGGUCGAUAUGGCUUUUGGGGCAUUUCAGGGGUAUUUUAAAGAUGUUUAGUGUGAUCAUUUGAUGAAAAGAAAUAACUUUUAUCUCCUAGGAAAUUUCCUUUCUUUGCAAAGUUACUAUAUAUAUGCCAGGGGAGUGGCAAUGAUAUUAUGUGUUUUGAUUCAUAAAGCAUUGAGAUUUUAUUAGCAUCUUUUCCUAAUUGUAUAUAAUUUGUUUACUUCUAGCUUGGAAACGAAUGUUCUUAAUUCUGUGACAACACUUUUAUGAGAUGUUUUAAGUCAAAUUCCAAAUGCAACAAUUUGAGCCAUAAUAACAUCUCAAUUUUUUUUUUUUUUUGAGAAUGAUAAUAUUAGUCUAUAUAUCCAUGGGUAAACUACAACUAAUGUGUAGUCCCCUUUCAAAAAGAGUUACAGUUACAGCUUGUGUAUCUAUCACUUGUUCCUAUACAUAAUCUAAAACAUCAAAGAUAUCUUCUGCAACAACAACAACAACAACAUACCCAGUAUAUUCUCACCAAGUGGGGUUUGGGGAGGGUAAGUGUACGCAGUCCAUACCACUACCUCAAAUGUGAGGUAGAGAUGUUGUUUUCGUCUUUCCGAUAGACCCUUACAAUAAAACAAUCUUGACAAGGAAUAGUAAAAGAACAAGAUACAAUACAAAUCAACAAUAUCCUAUAAUACCAUAAACAAGAGACACCAAGUAAUACAACAAAAGAAACAACCUAAAUGCAUACUAACCUUCUACCCUAAUCCGCCUCCGCCACAACUUUCUAUCUAGGGUCAUGUCCUCCUCGGUAAGCUGGAGCUGCUCCAUGUCAUGUCUAAUCACUUCCCUCCAAUAUUUCUUCGGUCCACCUCUACCUCGCUUGAAACUAUCUCUAGCCAACCUCUCACACCUCUGCACCGGGGCAUCCUUGUCCCUCCUCAUCACAUGAACGAACUAUCUCAACCCCGCUUCCCUUAUCUUGGCUUCCACCGAAGCCACUCCUACCUUAUUUCGAAUAACCUCAUUUCUAAUCCUAUCUUUCCUAGUACACCCGCACAUUCACCGAAGCAUUCUCAUCUCCGCCACCUUCAUCUUCUGGGUGUGGGCCUUCUUAACAAAGAUAUCUUCUGCCUGAUCUUAAAUCUCAAUUUUCCAACCAAGGCAUACAAAUGUCCAGCCACACAUCAGACAUUUUUGUGCAAGAAUAUACAUUUCUGGUUUAGUAAUAUCUUCUCUUUUCAAGUUUUCACAUCCUUUUUUUGUGGCAUGUUAAAAUGAGGUAAGCUUUAAAAGUAGAUGAUUUCAACUUUUAAGGAAACUAAUUAAAUUAAAAAUUACUGUGUAUGUACAUACGUGUACACACUUGUAAUAUUUAAGUUUUUGUAUGAUCUUAUUUUUUUGUUAUUUUUAAUAUUUUAAUAUUAGAAAAGAUAAUUUUGUUAGUUUAAGGUUUUUACGGCUGCGGGAAGCUCAAGUAAAUUUCCUAGUUACUUCAUAAAAUCACUCUCUUCAAUCUGGUAUCCGUCUCAUUAUUCACCUUUCCUUUUAGCAAGACAAUCUAAGUUGAAUUAAGUGUUUGAGUUUCUACUAAUUUUCUUAUAAGGUUCUGUUAAUUUUUAUCUAUUAACAGCCAUGCCCUUGUUCACGUGGAAAUGAAAAACCGAGGAGAGGAUGCUUACAAGGCUGAAACUUAUGGUGACCUCAUAAUGAUAGAGCGCAGGAUUUCAGAGUCUACUAGCUCUAUUGUACUAAAGAAUUACCAAGGUUUCCUAUAGUAAUUUCAAUAGCUCUUUCUAGUCUACUAGUUCUAGCAGUUUUUGUUUGGCCAAUAAUUUAAAAAACACUUUUGAGCAGCAAUUAGUAUUUGACCAAGCUUUUUAAAAGUGCCUUUAAGUGCAUUUUUCUCCGAAGUGCUUUUAGGGGAAAGCUACUUUUUUGAGUUUCUGAAAAACAGCUUCUGGCACUCCCCAGAAGACUUAUUUUCUUCCAAAAGCUUUGACUAAACACCUCAUUUUUAUAAAAUAAGCACUUUUGUAAAAAAAAUACACACUUAUGGGGAAAAUAAGCUUGGCCAACCAGGCUACAAGUUACCUUGCUUGUUAUCUCUUGAUUUAUGAGGUAGGAUCUUAUAGAUUUCCUGUUGGGUCUUGUUUUUCCCUGUUUUUUUUUUUAAACUUCUUUUAAUUGACACUUAACAGGUAAAAAGGUGGCUGCCAAAAAAGAGGAACUCCAAGAGCUUAUAGUACAUUUCAACGUGAGUGCCUGCCUGGACAAAGUAUUUGUUCUUAAUUUUUAUAUUGAAGUUUGAGCUUUACUUUGCGGAAACUGGUAGACUAUUUCUUGAAAAGCACGAAUGAGCAAGUGGAGGGCAUCAUUGGCUUCUUUUUUAUGCCAUUACAAAAAACAAGUUUUCUAGAUGUUCAUUUUUGACUAUGCAGAUUGAUGUGGAAAAUCCAUGUGUAAUAAUGAGUCAAGACAAAAGCAGGGAGUUCUUACAUUCAGGAAAUUCAAAAGACAAGUUCAAGGUGAGGUGCUUAAUUGCUAACUUUAUUAGUUGAUGGUUGUGUAGUUUGAUCUUCCACUUGGUAGCCCUUUUUGUGCUUUAUUCAUACUUCAUUUGGUUGCUGGCCAGCUUUGUUCAGUGAACUUUGUGACUUUUUCUGUUUCAUGUUUAGUUUAUCAAUGACAAUUGCUUAGUGGAGGGCAAUCUUGUUUAGUGAUUAAUCUGCCACUAUCAUCAUCCUUUGCAGUUCUUUUUCAAGGCAACACUGCUUCAGCAAGUGGAAGAUCUUCUGAUUGGUAUUGACAUUCAAUUGAAAAACGCAAAUGAACUAGUUGCUGAACUGGAGAAAUCGAUAAAUCCUAUAGUGAAAGAGCUUGAUGAGUUGCAAGGAAAGAUUAGAAGCAUGGAGCAUAUAGAGGAGAUUUCUAAUAAGGUAGACUUGUUGAAGAAGAAAUUGGCAUGGGCAUGGGUCUACAUUGUAGAUAAGCAGUUACAAGAUAAAAACAAACGGAUCGAGGAGCUGAAAGGACGGAUUCCCACUUGUCAAUCUCGAAUUGAUCAGCAUCUUGUAAGUGCUCUGGUUAUUCCCAGUGAAAGUUAUGCUAAGAGUUAGAAUGCCUUUGCUGGAAUCAUUUGUACAAUUUUUCCCUUCCAUAUUUGCUAAUGGUUACUUUUUCAUUACCUUGGUGUAAUUUUAUUUGUAUGGCAAUCCUGCUUUUGUUAGAAGCGGUUGUACUUGCUGCCUUUUGGGAGAUGGUGCCAUCCUAUUUUAUAAAAAAAUAAGUGUCUAAUAAAAAAUGCUCUCUCCCUUCAAGUUUACUUGACGUAAUUUGACUCGCCACAGAGUUUAAGAAAAGAAGACUUUUGAAACUUGUGGUCUUAAAUAUGCCAUGACAUUUAUGUCUAUAUAAGCUUUUUCGUUACGUGUAAAAUAGGCAAUUCAAAGUUAAUUGUUUCCAAAUAUAGAAACAUGUCAUUCUCUUUGGAACGCAUUAAUAAGUAAAAAGUGUCACAUAAAAUGGAGCAUAGUGAGUAGAAUUUAUUGCUCUUAUUAUAUUAUCAAAUGAGAAAUGAACAUCAACCAAUAGAAAGUGGAGGUAAGAUUUUCUUUUUUUGAUAACCGUGGUGUACGGGCUUGCCUUUGCGUACCUCGACUAAUUCCACGAGAUAUUUAUCACCUCACAGUGGUUGAAAAAAGCCAACAAGUGGUUGAGAACCAUGAGGUCUUAGGUUCAAAUCCAGCAGAGACAAAAAUACUAGGUGAUUUCUGGCCAUUUGUCCUAGCCUUGGGGGACAGAGUUACUUGGUACCUUAUUUGGUACCUGUCGUUGGUGGGAGUUGGCAAGUACCCUGAGGAAUUAGUCGAGGUGCGUGCAAGCAAGCCUGGGCAUCAUGGUUAUCAAUCAAAAAAAUUCACAUUUGUAAAUACUGAUAGGCGACCAGUAUUUGCAAAUACUGAAGACUGUAAUCAUUCUUCAUUUUUCCACUUUGCCUUUUUCAUCUAAAGAAAGAGUUGGCCGUGCUGGUAUAUCCCUGUACAGAAUCAUUUUCUAGUCUGAUACUCUGAUUCAGUAGUUUCUCCUCCUUCCUUUCUCUUUUCUUUCAAAGAUAAAAGAUCUGUACGGGAUAGGUAUUUUCUGUCUCUCUUUCUGAAGAUUUAUAUCUCUAGAAAGAAGUAAGGGAUAUGUAUAAUAUUGUCGCUAUAGUCGUUUUGUACCAAACCCGACUUGCUUGAUUGAGGCCUAGUUGUUGUUUCUCUUUCCGUACCGUCAUACAAGUUUUAGGCGUGUUGUUAGGUUUAUGAUAAUGUUACUCAAAACCAGAAGAGUUCGUUUAUAAUUUGUCCUUGUCUAUUCUGUGGUGAAACUUUGGUUUGUGGCUCUAUCGUCUGUCCUUUUCUUUCUGUCUUCUUGCAUAUUUCAGUUGUUACUUCACAUUGCUUGAUGUGAUGUCUUAUUCCUAGUACUAUAUAACAUACUAAGCAAACUUGUUUGUGUUUUCAGAGGAAGAUGGAGGAAUUGAAUGAUACGUUAACCACGAAGAAAGGUCAAAUUGCUCAUAUGAUGGAAAAGACAUCAGAAGUGAGGAGGAUGACAGAAGAGUUGAAACAGAGUCUUUCUUUGGUAUAUGUGCAAUUUCGUAUAUGUUGUUUCUGAUUUGGAUGGUAUUUGAUAUGUAUGAUGAUGAGAUGAUGAUUUUACUGUCAUCUGAUGCCCAGUUCUGCUACUCUUCUCGUCCUAUAUGAUCCUCACUCUCCCAGUCACUCCUUCUAGACCCAUUCUUUAUAUUGAAUUUUUUUCUCAUUUUCUUUGUCUCCUUAUUUCUUCCAUAUGAUAUGACCGUAUCUGCAUGUAUAUGUUGAUAAUUUUCAGUGGUGAUCUAUUACUACAAAAAUAAACAUACAAUACUUUCCAUGUUUUGCUGCUUCGGCUUAUUUCCUGCUGUAAAUGACUGAAUGCUGUAUACAUUCGAAUGUUCUUUCUCUAGCCUUUAUCUUUAUCUCUGAAACUUUUCUAAUCUAUGUGAGUUUCAUUUGUUAGGCUACAAAGGAAAAACUUGAGCUGGAAGAGGAGCAGAGUCGUAGAUCUAAUUACAUCCAAAAUAUGGCAAAACGGGUCAAGGUCUUUGAACAACAAAUACUUGAUAGGGAUGAGCAGAAUAUUAGAAAUACACAGGUCCUCUACACAGGUUUCCUUUACCUCUGUGAAUUGGUAAUCUAUAUAAUUAGUUCUCAGUAAACCCUGAUAUUGCAACUCCAGAGUGAAAGUAUGCUCCUUUUUCAUAACUUCAGAUAUUCCUUUCAAACCUUUCUUGAUGUGAUGUGGUUCCUAAUUUGUCAGCAGCAUUCUGGUAUUUAAGCUAACAGUAGUUAGUCCCCUGUACAAUAUAGAACUUUUCACUCUACUAUCUCAAAGCUCCUUCCUGAUUACCUAGCAAGGUCGCGUUGCAUGGAUGGGGUUAAUGCAGGAGCUAUAAUGUACACAUUUCUAGUGUAAGGACUGAAACUUGUGAGCAAUGUUGAAAUUGAGUUUUACAUCAACACUUUCUUCUCAUUUCUAUGAGGAUCAUAGUCAUUUGAUUAAGAAAUGAUACUACAGCGUGUUCCCGGCUAUGGUGAAUUGGUUAGGAUUUCAGAUAAGUGUCUGUGCCUCUAUAUAAAAGUUGUUUCUGUCAAGGGCGGAGCUAUAAUAUUAAGUUGGGGUUGGACGAACUGAGUAGAUUUUGCUUGAUUUUAGGAAGUCCGUCAAACAUGUGUAAAUAUUUAAUUGUGAACCCAGUAACUAAAACGAGCUAUGAGUUUGGUGGUAAGAUUAAAACUAGUCAUCUAGGAAAAAUGUGUGUUUUGCUGAGUUCAAUUAUUUAGCUGAUUAAGUGUGGGGUUUUAUGUUUACCUUGUGAAAGUUACUUACAUGCUUCUACCUUCCAAUGUACUGUAGGCCGAAGAACAUGAUAUGGAGGUGAAACUGAAGGAGCUCCAAGCUGAGAUUGACAGGGCUAAUGUUAUAUUUCGAAGGUCAUAGAAUAUUGUGUUCUAGAAGUAUUGAUUGUGUUACUGCUUGACUCCUUCACGAGUAAUGUUUGUCUUUUAAGAAGUUAUUCUUUUGAUCAAGCUGACAUUUUGAAACUGUAAUAUGUCAGGUUGAAGAAUGAAGAAGAUACCUUAAUAGAUAAAAUUAAUCAGGUGAAGGAUCAGAUAAGCAAAAUUGGUCAUGAGGUAAAAAAGAUAUUAGCUGACUUUCCACUGUUCAACAAGCAUGACAGAGAAUGCGGAAGCUUUCUUGACUUGCAUAGCCUUUUUGAUCGAUGCUGUGUUCAUUUUUUUUUUUCGAGACCCAAAUUGGGUGAGCCGUGACUGGCACAUAUUAAGCCAUUGCCCACUAAGUAAACCCUUAAUCGCUUUACUGGUCCAAUAUGUGAUAUCAUUUAUCUCAAAGAACAGGUCAUAUAUUCUGUGGAAUUAGUUCAGGUGUGCACAAGCUGGCCCGGAUACCACAGUUAUAAAAACAAAGAACAGGUCAUAUAUAGCAUAAUACAGUGAAAAAAUCAUAAUUGUAGAACAGUGUCCAAAGUAAUUAACAGUAACCCACAAUCCAUUAUCACCAUGGAGUAUCUUAAUAAAACGGAGUCAAAUAAAGUUGAGAGGCAGCCCAAAGAAGCAUAACGUUAUAAAGUAAAGACUAGCUACCGCCUCCCAAAUGAAUUUUCAUCCCAAGACUUGUAGCAGAUGGCAGAAUUUUUAUACAGAAUAGGUUGGUGGUUAUGAUUAGUAAUCAGGUUAGAAGCUUUAUGCUCAGGGAGAUCGAAAGCAUUUCACACUUGUUCUUUAAAUGUGAAGUAUCAGCUCAGUUAUGGAACAAGCUUUUAAGUGGCAGGGGCUAUGUAGAGCACCUAUGGACUGGCAAGAAGAAUUAAACUGGGAGCACUGUAUGCUGGAUUACGAAGUACUAUAAUAGAAAUUUAUUGGAUGGCUAUGGCUGCAUAUAUGUACUACAUCUGAUGUGAGAGAUAUCAAAGAGUCCAACAAUAAGCAAAAGGAACCAGAAGCUAUCACUAGACACAUUUUUCAGGAGAUCUUUUACAGGGAGCUGUGAGGCGGAAUAUAGCACAGAAAUUUGAGCAUUUCAAUUCUUAUCCUUAGAGCAAGGGGAAGAGUUGUGCAGUUUACUAGGCAUGCGUAACAAAGUAGAAAGUUGUGUUUACUGUUAGUUGGGGCUGUCAAACUGCUUUUGAUUUUCAGUGCAGCAUUUUUCACAAUUGGAAAUGUAGUCUUUUAUUUACAAAUAAAAGAAAACCAGUUUAGGAGGAUCAGAGUAACAUAAGCAAGAAGAUGGUCUCCCGUUUGUGGGAACAUUUAAUGUAUUUUCUUCUCUUUGAUUUUCUUAACUGUCUUUUCAUCCAAUCAAAAAUGAUUUUAUCAUUUCAGAAUCGGCAAGUCAAUAUGGAUAUAUACCCCAUCUAUAUCUCUUCCUGUCAUUUUGCUAGUCAAUUUUGAAUACUUGAGCCGUUGAUUUUGGGUCCUCUCUAUGUGGACAUAACCUUCAUAUACAUGUGUGAUUUUUGGGUGAUGCCCCAGUGCCCUUCUGUAUACCUCCUGGGCCCUGGCUCCUAGACACAACUCAAUAAUGUGUAACUAAUUAUACUUAUUUGGUAAAAGUAACAGUUCAUUAAUAUGUACAGGGAUACUACACCAAAAAUGUGUAGCCCCCUCAAAAUAAAGCAAGUUACAAUUGGAGCCUUAUACUAGAUACUUAUGAAUGGUCUAGAACAUCAAAAAUGUUUUCAGUUUGUACUAUCAAUUCCUGUUUGCACCAAAAAUAAUAGAGAGCUAAGCAAUUCAACUUGAACUUCUGAAUAUUACAUUGCUCGUCCUCAAAACUUCUCUGGUUCCUUUCUGUCCUAGCAGACCACUAAAUGCAUGCAGGGACAAUCUUCCAUCUCUCCUCUGUAAGCUGCAUUUUCAUCACUAUUCCAGCUGUUCGGAACAUCCUUUAUUCUACCUGACAUGACCCACUUGAUUUUCCUCAGACUAAUGAAAAUCUUCCAUAGCUGAUCUGUCCAUUUAAGUGAAAAAGAGAUGGCUGUUUGUCUCUGCCUGUUCAUUACAAAGGUAGCAUCUGGAGCAUAAUUGAAUUCUUCUUUUGUUCAAAUUUUCACGAGUCAGAACUUUUUCUGAGUGUAUGCAUCAAUGCAUAAAUUGUUUAUAUGAAUACAUCUAAUUCUAAAAUCAUGGAGUAAAGAAACAUGAUUAUAAUGAUCCCCGAGAUAUAAACGGGUAGAAUCUCGAAAGGUAUCCAAAAUCAGCUUACCACCAACUAUACCCUCAUGUGUGUGUGUCUAUAUAUGUAAAUGGAAAUUAAAACUCAUUCAAAAUAUUCAUGUUAUUUUGGAAUCAUUUCACAAGCAAUUUAUUGAAAAACGAGAAGUCUCUAUUUACCAUGAUUUCAAGCUGUGUAUUGCUGCUACACUUUUACAGUCAACCUAAAAUCUUCAAAAUUUGCUCAAAAUAUGGUUUAGAUGCUAUUAAAUUCACCUAAACACCUCAUCUUUUAAUAUUGGUUUUAGGUAUAAGGUUUCAGUACAGCCCAUGUACUGUGUGAUAUAAUACAAAUUUACCAUGUUCAAAAAAAAAAUAUUGGUUUUAGGUUGGACUCCGACCGUCGGAGUUAACUCGGUCAAACUUGGUCUAACCAAGGGACACAUUUUUGUUCUAGGUUACCCAUAGUCUCCUUUGUCCAAUUCCGCCAUUUAUUAGCCAUUAGAUCCACUAGAUUAAUUCUAUGCUUAAAUCUCCAAUUUCAAGGUAAAAAUAUACAUAGAUUCAUGUAUAUUAUCCAAAUAACGUCAGGAUCGUCCCCUUAAAAUGUAAUUUAUUGUCACUUUUACUACUAAAAUAAUAGCAUUGGGAAUCUCACCUCAAUGCUAGUGCUAUGCAUGGAGUGAUUUCUCUCAAAUAUGUGACCUUGUUCUGCAACGUGUUUAGGAUAUUGAUAUUUGCGAAGAACACAUCUUUUUAUGUUCUGGCAUGGCUGCGAUCUAAGUUGAUUGGGCUCUGCAAAAAUACUGCUAGAUAUAUGUCAGAUCCUCCAAAACCCCGUGCCGGAUCCUCCAAAAUGCAAAUCUAACAGAGGAUCCAACACACACUCAACUACAUCUUUUGGAGAAUCUGAGAAAUAUAGGCUUCAAUUAUGGAGCCAACUAUGAGAUUUAAAUGCUGCUAGGCCUGGGCAGGUCUACAAUGAUCCUACAGCUGAUCAAUUGAUCGCGGCCCCAUGAUUGCGGCUCAGUCCAUGUGAUGCCCUGAAGUGGUACUUGUCUCCCAACCCACUUUCUAUUGCAUUUGCGACUGCACCAGAUUUUAUCCAAAUUGUUCCAAAACAAGUCCGAACCCUCCAAAUUCAAUUCAAACCAUCCAUACAAGUGGCAAACAGUUACUUACAUCAGUUUAAUAUCAGCUCAAAAUGCUGUUUAGUAUGCAAAUAGUCAAACCGAAGGUCAAGAUGUUACAUUUAUACCAUGCCUAGAUAGUUUCUGGAAGAAUGCUCUACAUUUGCUCUUCUGCUGUAACAGUACCAUGAUCCUGUACACUUUUAUGCCUCUAACUUCUUGAUUCUUGCUAGUAAUCUGACAUGGUAUAGUUUGACAAGUCUUCCACUGAUUUGCAUGCUUCAGAAUCAAGGAUAAAUACUUUGUUUAAGCAAAUUAAAGCUUUUCCACUAUCAUGUGACUGACUGCAAAAAUGCUUGUGUAGAGAGUGGAUGAAAACUAUGGGUAACAUAGAUGUUGAUCUUGGUAUAGAAAGGUUCUUAGUUACUUACAAUUUUUCUGUACAGUUUCCCUGUUUUUAUUUUCUGUUUUUUUGAUUGAAAUGUUUUUGUUCUAUGUCCUGAUACCUGUGGCUAGAUUAUAAUGAAUAACCCUUUUUUGCAGAAUGAGUCUUAUUUUUUCUUUGGUGAUAGUGAUACAAAAUUGAUGCACAAAGAUCGAUUGUGGAUCAGUUUUAGGAAUUAAUUAGAAAAACUGAUGUGCUUAACGGGGAAUUAAUCCGAGAUCUUACCUAAGAAUAGAAAUGAUAGAAGAAGAAGAAACUAUUAUUUCAUUGAAUGCCUUGAGAUCUUACAAGAGGAGGUAUUUAUAGCUAAUGAAUGGAAGAACUGAUCUAACUCAUUCUAACCAACUAACAAUUGGACACUGCUACAUUACUAACUACUGCUACAAUGUUACCCCUUUUUUAUGAAAACAGUAAACAGUGUGUAAUUCAGUUUAAUACCAGCUCAGCAUUUGCAACUACUAAUCCACCUCAUCACUAACUAAUUCACCUUAUCUAUGAUCUUCCACUUGUUGGCCAAGUGUUAACUUGGUUUCAGGUGGUGUCGGGCCUAAAAAUUAAUCUUCGAAAGUGUGAGAUCAUUCCCGUUGGUGAGGUCGACAACAUUGAUUUGCUUGCACAGGUUUUGCAGUGUCAUGUAAGGGCUCUACCUACCACUUAUUUGGGUUUACCCCUGGGGGCCUCAAAUAAAGACAUUAAUGUAUGGAAUACGGUUCUUGAGAGGGUAGAGAAGAGGCUUAUUGGUUGGCAAAAACGAUACUUGUCCAAAGGAGGGAAAGAAGUGCUUAUCAAGAGCACAUUAUUGAGCUUCCCCACAUACUAUGUCUUUGUUUCAUGCUCCUACCAGUGUUAUAGGAAAAUUGGAAGGGCUACAAAGAAACUUUCUUUGGGAUUCGGCAGUUGGAACAAGAAAACUUCAUUUGGUCCAAUGGGAGAAAAUGACUACUACUAAAAAAUUGGGGAAUGGUGGAGUCAAAGAUUUGAAGGUAUUUAAUAGAGCUGCAAUAAUAGUGGAGUUUCGUGAUAGAGGUCUAUUCUUUAUGGAAAGGGGGGGGGGGGAGGUUUGAUAGUAGAAAAAUCUGGGUUGAUAGAAGGGGGGUAGAGAUCAAAUAUCAGUAUGCCAUUUGGGUGUGGAGCAAUAUUAUGAAGGGAUGGGCUGAUUUUGAGGUUAACAUCUCAUCCAGGGCAGGGGGCGGGAAGAGAGUUAGUUUUUGGAAAAACAAGUGGUGUGGAGAUGUGGUACUAAAAGAUGAGUUUCCGAGCUUUUAUAGGUUUUCUUGUUAGAGGGAGGCGGUAGUCCAUCAUAUUAGGGGGUUACAAGGGGAAGAACCUUCUUGGGAUUUGAAGUUCAGGAGGAAUCUUCAAGACUAGAAGGUUAUUGAGUUUUAUUGAGAAUAUGUUAAAUAAUAAAAGUGUGCUCUCUCUAACACCUUAAGCUUUUACAUGAAAUAGUCACACAAUUAACAUGGUAUCAGAGCAGGCAGAGGUCAUAGGAUCGAAUCUCACCGCCACCCAUUAUUAAAAAGAAUUUUCAUGUGCUUGGCGCAUGAAAAAAAAUCAGUCACGCACGUGAGGGAGCGUGUUGAGAAUAUAAUUAAAUAAUAAAAGUGUACUCUCUCUAACAACUUAAGUUUUUAAAUGAGAUGGUCACACACUUCAACAAGUUCCAUAGGUUACUAGCUCUACUUCAUCAGCAUCGCGAGCCAGUUGAUAGAUCCGAUGCUCUGAAAUGGAAGUUGGGGAGUAAUUGGGUUUUUUCUGUCAAGUUCUCUUCUGUGAGAAGCUUUUGGUGUGAGAAGCUUUUGGUGAGGGAGGUGGAGACUUUCCCCGUAAAGUCGAUUUGGAUUUCUAAGGUGCCGAGAAGGGUGUGCUUUUUCUCAUGGUUAGCUGUUAGAGGAGUGAUUUUGAUGGCGGAAAACCUUAGCAAAAGAAAGUUCAUAUGCAUUGGCUGGUGUUUCUUAUGCAUGAGGAUGUUGAUCAUCUUCUACUACGUUGCAACCUGACUUCGAGACUGUGGUGGAAUAUGUUUAGCUGGUUUGGUAUGUCUUGGGUGAUGCCUAAAUCCGUGAAGGAUAUGUUGUUUUGCUGGAAAUUUGGAAAAAACAGGAGAGUGCAGAGCUUGGAAUGUUGUCCCUUUAGUGUUGAUGUGGAUCGUUUGGAGUGAGAGAAGUAGGAAGGAUUUUGAAGGGGUAGAAAUGACUUUUGAGCAGUUGAGGAGUAGCCUCUAGUCCCUUAUUUAUUUUUGGUGCACCAAUGUAGUGUCGGGUUUUAUAGGGGACUGACUCUCUUUUAUAGAGAACCGUGUCAUGUUGUAGGUUCUUUAAUUUUUGGUACCUCUUAUAUACGGCCAAUUUUGGUCCUGUAGUUAAUGACACUAUUUGCCUAACAACAACAACAAACCCAGUGUAUUCCCACAAUGUGGGGUUUGGGGAGGGUAAGAUGUACGCAGUCCAUACCGCUACCUCCGAAGAAGUAGAGAGGCUAUUUUCGAUAGGCCCCCGGCUCAAGAUAAAUGAAACUAUUUGCCUGAUAAUAAAAAUUGAUCUUCCACUUGUAUCAUAUAGUAACAGAAGAACAAGUCUCAUUUUCCUCAUGUUGGCUUCUGGUCCUGUUAAAUUUUAACAAUCAAUAGAUCUUGCUUUCCUGAUGGUAUUAAGUCCUUAUGACUGCUGUUAAUGCAUUUUGUUCCAAUUUUAUACUAUUCAAUUUCUGGUAUUAGAAACCUUUCAUGAAGUUGCCUAAGGAUUAUAGUGUAGUCUUUCCAUAACAAUAGACAACGACGGUGGUGAAUUGUGUAAUAUUUAUGUUAAAGAAUGGAUCUUGGACCUAAUUUAACCUCAAAAGCUAGCUCAUGAGGGGAAGAUUGCUCAAGUCCAUAUAAGGAGAUCACCCAUCUCAUUAACCACCAAUGUGGGACUUUCUUUUUUUCGUGAACACCCUACCCCACGCUCAGACCUAGUUAACCGGGUGUGGACAAUCUCCCCGAAUCUCAAUUCGGGGGCCCAACAUUGGGUGCGAUGGACCCUGCUCUGAUACCAUGUAAGAUUGGUACCAAAAGUGUACAUUUUAUUCAUCCGAGAGCAACAAAUUUAUAGUAUAGGAAAGCAAACAUAACAGAAUCCAAUCGCUUGAUUUUAUCAGAUAUGACUAUCAAGAUGUGAUCUUUUUGAAUGUUAAAGAAUGAAUCUUGAGCCUAACUCAACCUCGAAAGCUAGUUCAUAAGGGGAGGAUUGUCCAAGUCCAUAUAAGGAGAUCACCCAUCUCAUUAACCACCAAUGUGGGACUUUCUUUCUUUCUUUAACAAUUUAUGCCAAUGAUAGUUACAUUAAUGAUUAGGAUUAUAACGUUUGUUGUCAACAGAAAAACAGAUAUAUGAACUACCAAUCUUGGUUUGUCAUUGUCUAGCAUGAUUAAUAAAUUAAAAACUGGAAUUGGUUUGUGUAAUCAGUAAUGUGGCAAUUUAUUACAACAACAACCAUACUCAAUCUCAAAGUUCUUAGAUUUGGCAGGAAGAAUCCUUUAUAUCCAUUCCAAAUCAUUUGUCAUUAAUUUUAAUACUUAAUACUUUGUCAUCAAAUGCAAAUUUUGAAUUCUUUUAAAAUAUUAAGUCUCUAAAUUCUGACACUCUAAUACUGACAUAUAAAUCUCUAAGAAUUUAAAAUGCUCAAACAUCAGACCUAUUACAAGUGUACCAACUAUGUCUAAACCUGCAACACAAAUUGUUGGUGCUGCCUAUAUGUAUACUUUGGUUCAUUAAGUUUAUACAUAUAUUCUUUAAGCACCAAUUCUUGUUUUAAUUUUUCCUCAACAACUCUUCUUUUUCUUGAUAAAGUAAAUAAUUUAUGAAUGACGGGGACAACCCAGUAUACAAACUAUGUACCAGAGGGUAGAGAACUUACAAGCAAAAUACGAUUUUCCACAAAAGAAACCCAAUCUUCUCUAUACAAAUGGGGAUAUUAUGGGUACACUAAAAGGAAACUAGAAACAAUACCCUUCAAACGCCUCCGUAUUCUCUCUUUCCAUAUAACCCACAUGAUACCUAAUGGAGCAGCUUAACACUCGAACUUCUUUUACCCCUCCAGCAGGUCCAACUAUGCAACCCUAAACAUCAGUUCUUAUGCUGACUAAAUUCCAGUAUGUCUAUACUGCGUAAUUCAUGCAUAGAACAGUCUGUACUUCUUUGAUUCUAGGUUUGGUUCCUUCAACAACUGUUUGAGACAUCAAUCUUCAAUUUGUUUUUUUCUCCUUUUCAUUUAGUUUAUGUAAGUGGCUUGCACUUGGCAUAUUAGCACAACAAAGGUUUUGUAUAUAACUUCUUAGGUAAUUUUUGGCUUAUUGAUUUUAUCACUAAUUGUCAUUUGUUAUAAUUAUUAGGAUUAUCACAGCUAAUACUGCUGCUGUGGAACUGCUACUAUUGUUUCUUCUUUAGCAUUUGCUGAAUAAGGAUACGAUUGGAACGCAAUGCAAUGUUAAUUGUAGCGACGACUUUGCUAGAAACUUUAUUCCAAGGAAAUGUUUGAAUUUAGCUCUUGAAAUUUUUUAUAGAACUUAAAAGCCACAGGAAAGUAAAGGACUCUUGAGUUAUCUCGUAGUAAUAUAUUUCAUUUUGCCCUUAAUUUCAUUUUUUAGACGCAGUUUAUUUUUUUUUGAUGUGGAAAUAAUUGAUUUGUACUAUUCUUUUGGUUCUUUAAGAUUGAAGAGUAUGAGAAGAAGGAUCGUGACAUUCGCUUUCGCAUUCGUGAGCUUCAACUUCAUCAAAGCAACAAGGUAUCUUACCUCUACUAUCUUGGCUAGUGUUCUUCUUAGAGUUUCUUUAUUUUGCUUAGCUUUCUUAAAGAGAGGAAAUUCAUUUUGCAAAGUUCUUAGCUUCCUUAGCCCUAACAAUUGAUACUUUGGUGGUCUUCCAAAUUUUAUAGUCAGAUGGGUUUGAAUUUUGGCAUUACCUUCUGAUUUUCUAUUGACCUAGAUGAACCGUCUUAUUUCCACUUUCAACAAUUUUUUUGAAGAUGAUCCAUUAGAAUUGUAUUUUGGUUAUCAAGAGCUCAAUAUGCAGGCAUACAAUAGCUAAGAGAAUUGUUAAACAUGAGAUACUGUAUAUCUCAGCUACAUAUAAUGCUAUUUUCUGCAAUCAUCCUUGAUUUUUGUUUUUAUUUUUGUCUAGUGAAUGCGAAGAGUAAGUCAAUCUUUUCUCUGGAUGUUCUUAUGCCUUUUCUGGUAUGGAUUUACCUCUGCUGCCUGUGACGUGUUUUAGUGAUAAACUAUGCUUUUGUCAAUAGAAAGAGAAGAAAUUUGGGGAAUGAAUUGCUUGAUUAUUCCCUCAAGUAUGUUGGGGUUUAAAUAAUGUUUACAAGUAGUCCUGGUGUUGUUCAGUUGAUUAGAUUGAGUCUUGGCAGAACUAUCCUGCAGAUUUUGGGUUGUUUGUGUCAGCCUUGUGUGGAUUUCUUUAAGUUUAUUUGUGUAAUAAUCUUCAUUAGAAGUUGAGUAUUCCAUAUGGGACUUUUUGGGGUGGGGAAUUAUAUAAUAAGGUCAAGUUCAUGACAAUGUAAGUUGUAAAUGCAAUUGAUGCUUUCUUUCUCUGCAAACAUUGCUGUUUGGCACUGAUGUUCUUUUUUCUCAGGUUACGGCUUUUGGAGGAGGUAGAGUGAUGAGCCUCUUGGAGGUGAUUGAAAGACAACAUAGAAAGUUCAACAGGGCGCCGAUUGGUCCAAUAGGUGCUCAUGUGGUAUGUGAUGGAGAAAACUCAUCAUACAUUAGUGAAGUAUAUCUUCUCAUGCUUUUCUUUCCCGAGCUUACGAGCUAAUUGUUGAAGUGUAUGACCAUCUCAUCUAAAAGGUGAAGCUGUUAGAGAGAGCACACUCUUAAUUACUUAAAUAUGUCUUCAAUACGCCUGCUCUAGUGUGCGCUUGACUUUUUUUCAUGGGCCAAGCAUGUGGAAAUUCUUUUUAAUAACUGAUGGCAAUGACUUGAACCUAAGGCCUCUGUCUACUCGAUACUACUAUUUAUCCAGUCUAUACUCGAUAAUACUAUUUAUCAAUGGAAUCUUCAAUCCCUGCUUGCAACUUAUAGUUGCUCCCAAUUGGCCAACCUACCAGUUUCUGUCCCGAGAUCCAAAAUAUUUUUCCGCAGAGAUGAACAUUCCUUUUUGUGAUCUGGCUACUUCAAUUCCGAAGAAAUAUUACAGCUUCCCUAGAUCCAUGAUAUCAAACUCCUGAGCCAAGAGCUUCUUCGGUCAAGCCAUCUCUUGUUAUGACUGUCUCAACGUCAAUUAUAAAAAGAGUGAUUAUACUUAUGAUGUCUUAUAAAGAGAGUAUGACAUGCAUUGAGCUGUUUAUAACUGAAAACAUUCAUGGUUUUACUGGAUCUGUUAAACUACCUUAAUGCUGAGGAAUACAGCAUUACCAGUUUAAGAGACUUUUUUUUAAACUGGUAAUAUUGUAUUCCUCAGCAUUAAGGUCAUGCUGUACAAAGGAAAUAGGAAGAAAAACAAAAUUUAAAUAACCUAGAAGGUGUACUAUCUGUUCAGCUUCAUCUAUAGAUUCCUGUUUACACCAAAAAAGCAAGGAUAUGAGACAAUUCCAUUUAACUUUCUGAUGGAAUUAAAUCCAUCCUCAAAACAUCUCUCAUUCCUCUCUUUCCACAUUGAGUGAGUAACCUUUUAGCCACCCAUUUUGCACAGCUAUCCUCGUCAUGCUAUGAAGUUCUUCCAUAGCUAAUAGAAAGAGGAAGGGUGACAUAGGAUCCCUUGUUUGAGGCCUAUGAAGUUCUUCCAUAGCUAAUAGAAAGAGGAAGGGUGACAUAGGAUCCCUUGUUUGAGGCCCCUUUUAGAAGGCAGAAAACCUAAAUGGAGAACCUAACAGUUUUAAUACAAAAGCUGAUCCAUCCAUCUGUCUCUGCUUCAGUAACUUUACGAGAAAGUCCCAAUUCACAUUGAUCAUAUGCCUUCUUCAUAUAUAACUUGCACAUGAUGCCAGAGUCAUUGCCUUUCAAUCUGGAGUCCGCACAUUCACUUGCUAUAAGAGCAACAUCCAUGAUCUGCCUUCUCUUUAUGAUUGUAUUUUGAUGUUUGUCAACCAACUUACUAAUCACCUUUUCUAUCUUUCAUCUAGAACUCUAGUCAAGAUUUAUAGACUCCACUAAUGAGGCUUAUUCGUCUGAAAUCCUGAACUCUGAAGCACCAACUUUUUUGGGUAUUAAUGCUAUAUAGGUACCACUGAUAUGCUUUUCAAAAACUCUGAAAUCAUGGACAUGCUUCAAUGUCUUCAUAACAUCUUAAUUAGAUUCUAGAAAGCCUGGUAGAAGCACAUUGGGAGGCAUCAGGAUGAAUCCAGGAUGAACAAAAAGUUUAAUCUACGCAGCUUUCCUUGAGUUCCCUAAUCAUCAAAUCCAGGAUGAAUCUUCAUAGACUUCUUUUUUUAAGUUUUCUUGCCGGAAUGCAAUUUUGAGAUCAAACAACAGCUAUUCCCAGACAAGGUUGGCUGCACAGGAUUACAAGAUUCUGGUUGUGUUUGUUUUUGCAAUAGGAGCAAAUGUUUACUGGUUGUCAACUCCAUAUGUAUGACUGAAUGCUUUAGCUAUCAAUCUGGUCUUGAACCUCUCAGUUCUCACUCAAAUCAUUGGUUUUACGUUUCACAGUGAACAUCCACUUGCAGCGGACCAAUUUCUUGUAUAGUGGAUGAGUGACUAAUUUCCAACUCUUAUUUUCUCUAGACCUUUCAUUUCUUAGCCCAAGCUUCUUUCCACUUGGGAUCUUUGAGAGUCUUCCUCUAAUUUGGGUUGCACUAAAGUAUGGUUCAGAUUCUUUAAAAGUAACAUUCACACCAACAAAAACUUUCUUGAUGGUGGAUGGUAAUUCCAAUAGCCUUUGUAUUGGAUACCCAAUGAACACACAUUUGAGGGCCUUCAGAUCCAAUUCCCCGCGUUCGAAUUAUGACCAUAAUAACACACCCAAAUACCUUUGGAGGAACAAUAUAAACAUUUUUCCCAUGUAGGACCUAUAAAGGACUCAUAUAGUUGAGUGCUUUUAGAGACAUUCUAUUGAUAAGACUAGGAGCUGCUACAAUUGCAUCUCCCUAGUAAGGUUUUCGGGAAUAUACGGUGAACAUAUACGAUUUAGCAACUUUCAAGAGAUGUCUAUUUUAAAAAUUUAGUCACUCCAGUCUUUUGCACUAGUUAAGGACAACUAGCUUGGUGGAUGAUAGCAUUAAGCACCAAAAUAGAUUGUUUUGCUAUUAUCAGAUACCCUAGUUGCAUUUGCAUUUAAUACAUUUAGCUUUCCUGCUGGUUUAACUUUUGAGAGCUCAUGCUAAACAAUUAUCAACAUGUUGUCGCAGACCUUAAUUGAUGGUGACAAAUGGGGUACUGCUAUUGAAAGUGCCGUUGGCAAGAUGCUUAACGCUUUUAUUGUUACUGAUCAUAAAGAUUCCCUUUUAUUAAGAGCAUGUGCAAGGGAAGCGAACUACAAUAACUUACAGAUUAUCAUUUACGAGUUCUCUAGACCAAGGUAAUGAUCUUUCUCUAUAUGUUCGACGUGUGUGUGUGCGUGUAUAGAUAGGGAUGAUUAUAUCCUUGAACAUUGUUGGUGGAUGAUAUAUACCAGUCACUUCUAUAUGUUCAAAAAGAUAUAUACCAGUCACUUAUGUGGAGAUUGAUACUUAUCUAGUUUAUUUCUGAUAAGUGGAUUAUUUAUUUAUCAAGCUUUUGCUUUUAUUUAUUGGUGUAGGUUGCAUAUUCCCAAUCACAUGCUUCCCCAGACUCAUCAUCCAACAGCAAUUUCUCUUCUACAUUCUGACAAUCCAACCGUACUAAAUGUCUUGAUUGAUUUGGUAAAGUUCUAUUCUGUGGGUAAUUUUAAUUCUUGAUAAUUGCCAAACGUAACUAUUCCUUAGUGCUGUAGCUUCGUGCUGAUCAUAAUAUCAAAUAUAAAUGAUGUUUACUUUAGGCAUAGGAAUAUGAUGGCUAAUUUGCAGUAAACACUCCUUAUUGCCAUAACAAUUAUGAUUAUGGUAGCUCGGCUUAUCCCCUGCAGUCACCGUAAUUCCAUGUUUCUUUUAUUCUCCUCACUUCUGGUUUCUCUUAGUUGUUAGUUCCGAUUGGGUUUCUUAUUUGAACGUCAGACAGUUUUACAGUCGCUUAUGUUGAUCUGUAAUCACUGUUACAUCCGUAUUUUACUCUUUAGAUUAGUUGUGCUGAUUAUGCGUUGAUGUUUCCUGGAUCUUAUUAGGGUAAUGCUGAGAGGCAAGUGCUAGUUAAAGACUAUGAUGCUGGAAAAGCAGUCGCUUUUGAUCAAAGGAUUUCAAAUUUGAAGGAGGUUUACACUUCUGAUGGGUACAAAAUGUAAAAAUUAUGAAAUUUCUAAUAUGCUGCUUUAUUUUAUUUUAUUUUGGAUAACCCAUGUGCCGCUUAAUUUUCUCAUCUCCGAACCAAGUUGUUUUCUGUAAUCUUGUGAGUAACUCCCAGUAUGCGUCAGGUCGAGGUAUUGGCUAAGUUGCACGUGGUUUAGGUAUAGAUUCACCUAGUACUUGGUGGACAAAAUAUCUGCUGAUUGGCUUUUGAUUUAUUCCGGAUAUAAUUAGAUAUAUAAAUUGCCUUCCAACAGCUUAUUUUAUGUGGUUUUAGGAUGACUAGCCUGAUGCUCUGCCAACGAAAACAAGUCUGACAAUAGUUUGUUUAUUACAAGAGAACAUCCUCUAGUAUAACCAUUAUGUUAAUUCAACAUGGCAUAAAACUUAUAAUUAGUAGUUAUGAUCCUUAACUAAUCUAAUUUACUCUUUUUACAUUUCUUAUUUUGGUCUUGACUUAUGUAGAACAGUACAUUUUGCACUGACAUGAUUAACAUACCCAAAACUUCCUAGGUUUUCUCGGGGUUCUGUCCAAACUAUUCUUCCACCGAUGAAGAAUAUGAGAGGUGGGCGUCUUUCUGGUUCAUAUGAAAAUAAAAUUAAAACUCUAGAAAGCGAAGCAUUUGAGGCACAGAACAUAGCUCGACAAACCAGGGGUAUGAAGAGGAGUAUCAAUGAAGAGCUUCAAGGACUCCAGGAUAAUCUGCAAAGCGCUAAGGUACUUGUUAUUUUUACUUAAGUGCAUUCUCCACCAGAGUAAUAGCUUUAACUCUCUAAGGCUGUUGCAGAUGUCACUUUGGUUUUACUUUUAUCAGAAGUAAAAGUGGUUUUCCUUUCUUCUGUCUUUCGUUCUUUCUUCAUCUCACUUUUGUGUAGGGACAUCAUCUCAGUGUUACUCUUUGCUAUCUGGUCAUGAUGUAUAUUUCAUUACUUUAUUGUGUAUGAAUACUCGAUACGGGCAAUCCUUGACAUAAUAUUUAGAUAAUGAUUAGUCUAUCUAUCAGUUGCAUCAUACUUCUACUGUUCCAUCGUAUAAAUUUGUGAAAGAGCAUCAAGCCUCAUGACUGUUUGCUCUGACCCAAAAGCUGAGGAUUUGGAGCAUGAAAAUUAGUGCGUAGCCAUUAAGCCCAAACCUAUGAACAUAAAAUUAUAAACUGGUGUUGUAAAUUUUAAAUAGGAUCCUUCAAAGAUUCUACUACCUCCCUCAGUUUUAUAAUUAUUUACUCAAGUCUUGCUCUCGUUUAUUAAGAUGUCGGAGAAGCUAAACAUAUGAGAUCAUAGACGUAGAUUGCUUGCUGCUGACCCCUGACCCUGGGGGUGGGGGGUGGGGAUGUCCAAAGUUUAACAUAAAGUACACAAACAUGCUCACAAAGAGCUACAAGACAGCCAAAAUAUACUGAGGAUCAUAUAAAGCUUUGUCUUAUCAGAAAGGACAAUUGUGAUGCCCUUCAUGGCCUGCAUUUUCCGUGUGAAGCCAAUGACAAGGGUUUUCAGCAGGCCUAGAUUGGGCUUCAUGGAAAAGAAUCUGAACAAAACAAAAGCAGAAAGCAUGUGGAAGGGUGCCUCCACAGGUUGACCAUGUUUCUUGAAAAAGAUUUUCCGAGAAAGGACAAACACCUCUGAAGUGGCUAUAUAUUCAAAUUUACAUAAUGAUCUAUAUGCUUUGACAUCCAAAUACAUUGGGAUGGGCAUCUUUUUCAUUUUUGCUACUAUGCCUUGUGUUUAUUGUUUAGUUUAGUUACUUUUUUUUUCUUUUCUUUCAAAUAAGGGAAGUUUUAUUUGAGUGUUGGCCGAUUUAUAUGUUUAUUGAGCCUUAUUGGCUGAAGCAAUUCAACAUAUGUCAGGAUUUCAAUGACAUUUGAAUCUUUGUUUUGGGCCCUAAGGUAUAUGUUUUGGUGUUUGGAAUUCUCCUUUUUCCCUAUCACCCAUGUGUUUUUGAGUUUGUACUUCUAGCAUCUACUCAUUGCACAACUGUUUGUAGAAAAUUGAACAUCUUUCUUUUCUAUGCUUUACUAUGAAUUUGUUUAGUAUUCCGUGUCUCGAGCCGGGGAUCUAUCGAAACAGCCUUUCUACUUCUUUAGAUGUAGAGGUAUGGACUGCGUACAUCUUACCCUCCCCAGACCUCAUUAUGUGGGAAUACACUGGGUUUGUUGUUGUUGUUGUUUCUUUUCUCUGUUUUUGACUGUCCUCGUUAGAUGCCUAAUACCUAAUUAUUUACCCUUUCCAUUAGCAUGUUGUUACUAUUUUCACUACCUUGAGUGUGUGUAAAAGAACCAAUACAACUACAACCACCACCUACCCAGUGUAUUUUCACAAAGUGGGGUCUGGGGAGGGUAAAGUGUACGCAGUCCAUACCAGUACCUCAGAUGAAGUAGAGAUGCUGUUUUCGAUAGACUCUCGGCUCAGGAUAGAUAACAGUUUAACAAAUAAAAAACAUAAAAAUAAACAACAAAAUGAGAUAACACACUGCUAGAUAAUAAAAGAAACAAGACACCGACAAAGUGAUAAUAUAAUUAUCUAUUUGAGAUCACAAACAUCAUCGGAACAGUAUGAACAAGAAACUACAAGCACAGAUACAAACAAAGCACUUCUUCAACCAUUAUGGACGCACUUCUACCCACUAACCCUCUAAUCUAAUUCGCAUCCUCCAUACUUUCCUAUCAAGGGUCAUGCUUUUCGUAAGCUGUAACCGCUUCACGUCAUGCCUAAUCACCUCCCUCAAAUAUUUCUUCGGCCUACCUCUACCUCACCUAAAACCUUCCAUAGCCAACCUCUCACACCUCCAUACUAAAGCAUCUAUGCACCUCCUCAUCACAUGCCCGAACUAUCGCAACUUCGCUUUAUGCAUUUUGUCUUCCACCGAAGCGAUUCCCACCUUCUCUCGAAUAAUCUCAUUUCUAACCCUAUCUUUCCUGAUAAGUCCACACAUCCAUCUCAACAUCCUCAUCUCCCCUUCAACUUUUGGAUAUGAGAGUUCUUAACUGGCCAACACUCUGCUCCAUACGACAUAGCCGGUCGGAUUGCUACUCUGUAGUAACUUCCUUUUAAGCAUAUAAGGCCCUUCUUAUCACAUAAGACUCCCUAAGUGAGCCUCCACUUCAACCAUACUGCACCAAUAUGGUGCAUGACAUCCUUGUCAAUCUCUCCAUUCCCUUGAAUUAUAGACCCAAGUUAUUUGAAACUAUCCCUCUUCCAAAUGGCCUGAGAAUCCAAAUCUUUGCUCCGUUGUACAUGUAUUGAAUUGACCUAGUGUAUGCCACGGGCAUACCUCUAACCUUGAAGCACCUCCAUAGAAUCUCUCUGGGGGCUUUAUCGUACGCUUUCUUGAGAUCGAUGAACAUCAUGUGCAAGUCUUUCAUCCUCUUCUUGAAUUGCUCCACUAACCUCCUCGCGAGGUGAACGACUUCAGUAGUCGAGUGACCUAGCACAAAACCGAAUUGAUUCUCGAAAAUAGUUACGAUCCUCUUCAACCUCAAAUCUACCACCCGUUCCUAAACCUUCCUAGUAUGAUUCAACAACUUGAUACCCUUAUAAUUGUUGCAACUAUCAAUAUCCUCUUGUUAAUGGAAUUAUCGUAUUCCAUCUCCAAGCUUCGGGCAUCUUCGCCACCCUAAAAAUGAUGUUAAACAACCUUGUCAGCCACUCCAUACCUGCCCCGCCAGUGCUUAUCUAAAAAUCCACCGGAAUCGCAUCUGGCCCAGUUGACCGAUCCCUUUGUAUCCUAAGAAUAACACUGUUGACCUCCUCAUAGGAAAUUAACUAUCUUAUUCAUUUGUAGGCAUUUGAAAGAAAUUUCUUUUUGUUUUACCACCCAAAUAUGUAACCUAUACAAUCUUCUUGUUAUUUGAUGGAACUAUCUAAUGUUUUAUUUAGUAUCCCAGUGGAGGUGGAUUUGUUCAACUGGAUGUCAACGAUUGUGCAAAUUAUAUCCUACUACCAAUUUUAGCAUUUCAUUUUAUCAAACUGAAGAUUAUCUAAGUCCUUUUCUUUUUGUAGCCUGUGGGUCAAGGAAGAUUACGUUGUUCUCAAAUUUAGAUCUAAGAGCCUGUUUGGAUUGACUAAUUUUAUGCUAAGUUGCUUGGACUGUCCAAAAUUGUUGUCGCACCCGUGUUGGAUCCUCCAAAGUGACUACUUUUGAAUGAUUUGACACGCACCCGAUGACAUUUUUGAAGAGUUCGUGCAACAUAGAAUUUAUGUGCUUUUUAGACAAAAUAGCUUUUAAGAAAUUUUAGAGCGAGGGUAAAAUAAAAGAGUGUUUAUAAGCACUUCGUUUUAAGAAAAAAACCAAAAGCUAAUCUAAACAUGCUAUAAGUCUUCAGAUUAUUUUGUAGAAAGAGCACUUCUGGCUUGUUCGAUCCCCAGAAUAGUUUCAUAUGACUGAUCAUUCUGCUGACAAAACAGUUAACGUUCAGAAAAUGCUAAAUUAAAGUAGCGUGUGGACCAAGUAGGAUUAAUUUCUCUCUUUGAUUUCAUUAGUUGUUUGUUUGCAUGCUUUAUUUAUAUCUUCAGAUUGUCUGGACAAUUCCUCUUCAUCUGGUUGUUUGAAAACGUCUCUGUGUCCACAUAUUUCUUAGAAGAUUGUGCUUUUACUACCUAGAAACAUACAAAUGGUAUAUAUUUAGCACAACCAUAUUCGGUGAUAAAAACGGGAACGUGAGAACCGGAGAACUUUUAGGAGUGAUUUUUGAAGGAAAAGAUGAUAGGGUGCUAAGUUUGCUUUGAGACACAAAAAGAAAGAAAGAGGGGUUGGAGGAUAGGAGAAAGAAGGUCCUAGGGAGGGGAGGUAAAGGUGUUCGAUUAAGGAUAAUGAAAGAGAAAGAAAAUUGAUAGUAUAUAAAAUGAGAUAUAGAAGAAAGGAAAGGUCAAGGGUCUCCGGGAAGGAGAGGGGUGGGGAAGAAAUUCACUCUGUUUUUCGUGGAUGUCAAAAUUAUUUCAUGGAAUGUGAGGGGUUUGAACAACCAUAAUAAGAGGACCAUCAUCAAAGUAGGGUUUAGAGAGUGGGGCCAGGAAUUAAAGAGUUGGGCAAAUGACUCAGCUUUGUUGGGGACGUCUAGGAAUUAAAGAGUUGGCGGUCUUUAACAAAGCUUUGUUGGACAAAUGACUCAGGCAUUUUAGGAUAAAGGUAUAAGCUUUGUCAGGAGAGGUGAUAGUUGAUAAAUAUAGGGUAAUGGAAGGGGGAUGGAGAACUAGAGAUGUCAUUAUGCCUUUUGGGUGUGGUUUGUCGAGGAAUAUAACGAAGGGAUGUGAUAAUUUUAACAAGGGAAAAGGGACAAAUAUACCCUUAAACUAUGAUAAAUGGUACGUAUAUACCUUUCGUUAUAUUUUGGGUACAUAUAUGCUCCCACCGUUAAUGAAAUGGUAUGUAUAUGCCCCUCACACUAACGGUAGGGGGCAUAUGUGUACCCAAAGUAUGAAGGAGGGUAUAUACAAACCUUUUAUCAUAGUUCGGUGGUAUAUUUGUCCUUUUUUUGCUUUAAUUUUUUUUAUCUCAAAUCAUUAACCCAAACUCACUAUCCGACCCAAUAAACCCAAUUAAAAUUCAAGAGAUGCCUAUUUAGCGCACACGUUUUUCCCGACCCUAUAACGAUAUACACAUACACUAUAGUAAUACUUACUACUACCAAUUUCCAAAAAUAAAAAAUCAUUAACCCAUAACACCCAAAAAUAACACCAAAUAAAUUGAAUCCCUCAUGUUUCAAUUUUCAGCUAAAUUCUAUUGGGAAAACACUGCCCACCACUGGUCAACACCACAUGGCUACUGUCUCUGUCGAACUGAAAAAACCCCACCGACAAACUAUAGCUGCACCUGUAGCUCCGGCUUAAUCUCCACUCCCUCCAACCAAUAAACACCAACUAGUAGCAAAGACCAAUCACUGCAAUUUGAUCGGGGUUCAUGUUUAAUAGAAAAACAAAAACAAAAGGAGUAUCGAGUUUGGAAUAAAAAAAUAGAGGUCGGGUCGAGUUGGUUUAAAAUCGGGUUCGAUGCGUUUAUUAGGUCAGGUAGUGGGUUUUGGUUAAAAAUUUAAAAUGAAAAAGGGAUAAAUAUACCCCCGACCUAUGAUAAAUGAUACGUAUAUACCCUUCAUCAUACUUUGGGUAUACAUAUGCCCCUACCGUUGGUGCGACGGGCAUAUACAUACCAUUUCAUUAAUGGUAAGGGCAUAUGUGUUCCCAAAGUAUGACAAAGGGUAUAUACGUACCAUUUAUCAUAGUUUGAGGGUAUAUUUGUCCCUUUUUCGUUUCAAGAAAAAUGUCUCAUUCAAGGUUGGAAUUUGGAGGAAAGUUAUUUUUUGCAGGCAUAAGUGGUGUAGGGAUAGCUUGUUGAAAGAUGAUUUUCAGGCUUUGUAUAGAAUGUCAUGCCAAAGGAGCCUGUCGGUCCAACAAAUUAGGGAGAUACAUGGUGGAGAAACAUUUUGGGAUUUGAGAUUUAGAAGGCAUUUUCAUGAUUGGAAGGUGACCGAGCUCCAAAGGUUGGUGACCAUCCUUCACAGGAAAGUCAAUUUGGUGGAUGAACCUGAUACUUCAUGGUGGGGUUUGAGGAACAAUGAGGUUUUCUUUGUUCAAUCAUUCUAUGAGAAACUCCUAAUUAGGGAGGAGGUUAUGUAUCCAAGUGAUGUAAUUUGGAUUGCGCUGGUGCCGAGGAAGGUAUGUUUUUUCUCAUGGCUAGCAUCUAGAGGGGUGAUAUUGACGGCGGAAAACCUUAGAAAGCAUAAGGUUGUCUGGGCCAGCUAGUGUUACAUGUGUAAGGAGAUGGGAGGAAGUGAAUCACCUUUUUAUACCUUGUGACUUUACCAUAAGAUUAUGGUGGGAUAUGCUUCGGUGGUUUGGAGUUUCUUGCGUUAUGCCAAAAUUUGUGAAAGAUUUAAUGUUUUGUUGGAGAAGCGAAAAUAGAAGGAGGCGUAAGGCGUGGAACUUGGUCCCUCUUGUGUUGAUGUGGGUUAUUGGAAUGAUAGAAGCUUUUGAGAGGGUAGAGUCGAGCUUUGCUCAAGUGAGGAAUAGCCUCCGUCUCUUAUUUUCUUUUGGUGCGCCCAUAAAACCCCAAGUUGUGUAGAAGAAUGGGUGGAUUUUGUAGAGAAUCAUAUUUUGUUGAUUCUCUACCUUUUGUUUUUUUCUCUAUAUAUGGUCCCAGUCGGUCUUGUUUAUGAAUGAAAUACAUUUACCUUAUCAAAAAAAAAAAAAAAAGAUUUUAAAAUGCUUUUUCAUGGAUGGUUCUUUCUUGCAGAAUCAUACAACCGCUUUUUAGGUACAACAAGAAACCUUGACUUGCUGUUAUUUUUCUUCUCACAGAGAUUUGCUGCCUCUUUGAGAGUGAAGCAGUUCUAAACCUUCUAAAAUGAAAAGAAAGGAAAAAUAUAUUGUACUUGUACUGCAGAGAAGUAUUGGUGCUGCUCUUAUCUAAUAGGGUGCAUUAUUCUUUCUGGAGCAUCAUUAUUAUGGUCAAGACAAAGGAGCAUCCUUGGCAGUCUCAGUGACUGUAAACAUAUUCUUUUGAAUUUUCAUACUUAUGGCUCCUGAGUAAAUUGCUAUGACAGGCUAUGACAGAAUUUCCUCUAAUGAGUUCUGAUAAGACUGUAAUUCAGACUGAUAUAUGUGAGUGGGGUUUCCUAAGUUUUGAAUGAAAUGAACAACUAUUGAUAUAACCAUUAGUUCCUCUGCUCCUGUAGAAGAGGCGCCAUGAUGCAGAGCGAGUUUUGAGGUCCAAGGAGUUCAGCUUGCAGGAUUUUAAAAGGUCAUAUGUUGCUGAAUCUAGCUCCACUGCUGUAUCAACAGUAGAUGAGCUUCAUGUAGAGCUAUCGGUUUGUUCCUCUUCUCAUCCACCCAUAUAUUCACUUCCGUUGCGGGGUUUCAGUUUCAGUUUCGAUGUUUUCUUGUUCUUUCAGAAGGCAUUCCACUAUUGUCUUUUUUUUUUUUUUUUUUAAACGUACAGAAAAUUCGUGAUGAGAUGCAUGAAAAAGAAAAUUCGUUGGAAAAGCUUCAAGUGAGGUUGAAAGAAGCAGACAACAAAGCUAAUGAUGUCAAAGUAUCCUUUGAAAAUUUAUGUGGUAUGCCACAUUUUGCUUCUUUGUCAGGUUCGAAUACUUCCAAGUAUAUUUCCUUAUAUAUGCCCUUUUCAUAAAUUCCGUUCCAUUCUGAAAAUGUAGAAUCAGCAAAAGUGGAAAUUGGCGCCUUGGAGGAAGCAGAACGUGAGCUAAUGAUGAUUGAUAAAGAUUUAAAAGAUGCAGAAUUGGUUCAGUCCUACUUUCUUCUUUUAAUUGACACUACAUAUAUUUUUUUUUACUGUGUUGUGAUGUUUAUUGAAAUUUAUGGUAUGUGGUGCAAUUUAAACUCUUAUUUCAGAAGAAGAAUCACUAUGAAGAUGUAAUGAGUACCAAAGUUCUUUCCCAACUCAAAGCUGCAGAAGCAGAGUAUCAGGACCUUGAGCACAGGCGCAGGGUAUGUAUAAUUUCUUAUAUUCAUAUAGUUCUAUGAACACUAACUGGGAUUGAUCAAGAUAUUGUUUAUUGUACUACUUACCAAAAUAAAAAUCCUUUAUAAUGCGCAUUAUUUGCAUUGCCAGUGAAGUUCAACUUGUUAAAUGUUAGCCAGAAUAACUUGAUGAAGUGCUUAAACUCAAAGGGCCUUUAUUAGGAUAUUUUGUUGUAUACUUGUGACUUCUGGCUUUCCUAGUUUUUUUUCCUAUUGUAAAUGCAUUUUCAUUUGUGAGUUUGUGAUUAUUUCUAUGUUACGUCACUCAAUUUUUGUUGUUGGGCCUGUACUUUUGACUUUUUUACUAUAAUAAAAUCUAGUUACUAUUAGAAAAAGAAUAUUAUUCGUUAAAAGUCAGUGGAUGCUAUUCAUGCAAUGGAAAGAAACAUCAUCUGUAGUUUCUCCUUUUAUUUUUAACUUCUUUGAGAGUACAAUUGUAUUGCACAUGGAAUUACAAGUACUUGGUGUUCUUUUCCAGAAAUUAUUCGUCUUAUAUUGUGAGUUUCAUGAAAUUUUUUAAAUGCAAAUAUUCUAAUUAAGAUAGCUGUGCAAUUAGGAUGCUUUUGGCAAGUUGCUGUCUUUAGAGAGUGAUUAUUAGAGAUGUUCAGUUACUGGUCGACCUAUAUAUAACAGUAUGUGAAGUCAAAAACUAUGACUACCAAUGUUAUUGGCUCUUACAUUAGUAGUAUCAUUAACUGCUCACUGACUUGUUCUUCCCCCUCUCCAUGGUCAACGUUAUUGGUGCAUAGAUGCUUCUCUCUCUCAAACUCUAGUUUUCAUUUCAUAUCAGAGAAAGCAUCUUACAUUACCUUGCUUAACUGCCCCCCUGGUUGCAGGAGAGCUACGAAAAAGCCUCAAUCAUCUGUCCUGAAAGUGAGUUAGAGACUGUAGGAGGCUGUGAUGGAAGCACUCCGGAGCAAUUAAGCGCCCAAUUAACUAGGCUGAGUCAAAGACUUCAGCAAGAGAGUCGAAGGUAAGGAUUUGAUUAUGUUUGAUUGUUUACCUAUUCCAACGUAUUUAUGAAACUUCCAUGCAGACAUCCAGAGUCCAUUGAGGAUCUCCGCAUGUUGUACAACAAAAAAGAAUGCAAAAUAUUAAGAAAGCAGCAGACCUACAAAGCAUUUCGUGAGAAAUUAGGUGUAAGUUACCUCCUUCAUGGUUAUAAUUCACUCUUCUCCAUCUGGAAAAUAUAGAAAAAGUUUUUUUCAUCUCAUAGAAGCUCUUGUGGUUACAGAGGAUUAGCAAGUCCUCUCUAAUUGCAUUAUAUGUGAAAACUGUUCAGUUUUUGCUUUGUCAUCAUCCUAGAGUGCUCAGAUGUUAAAUUUUGUUCUGUGAUUAAAAUUACAUUCUUCCCAUUGAUAUGAAUGGUUUGUUCCUCACAGAUGCUUGGUGCUUUAUCCUAGAAAUGAAAGCUUUUCCUGUAAGCCACUUUUUUUUUUUUGAUAAGUUAAGUGUAUUUCAUUCAUAAACAAGGCCGAAAUGGCCAUAUACAAAGGAAGAAACCAAAAGGUAGAGAAUCUACAAAAUUUGAUUCGCUUUAAAGUCCAGCCAUUCUUCUAUAAAACUAGGGAUUUUAUGGGUGCACCAAAAGAAAAUAAGAGACGGGAGGUUAUUCUUCACUUGAGAAAAACUUUACUCCACCCCCCUCAAAAGCCCUCCUAUUUCUCUCAUUCCAAAUAACCCACAUCAAUGCAAGGGGGACCAAAUUCCAUGCCUUACCUCUUCUCCUAUUCCCGUGCCUCCAACAAAGCAUUAGCUCUUUCACAUAUUUUGACGUAACCCAAGAAACUUCGAACCACUGAAGCAUAUCCCAUCAUAAUUAUAGGUUAUGCAUUAUUGGUACUGCUCAUCUUUCCUGAAGAGGGUACAGAGAGAUGUUAGGGCGCAAUAAAUCUUACCAAAGUUGUGUAAUUUUCCUUAGAAGAUGACAAUUUGCCUUAAAAUCUCCGGUACUUGCUAUCAAAAUUGGAGAUGAUAUAAGUUGGAGCUUCAAUCCAGCGGUUAAGGGAUGCAAGCCUUACCGAGCGUCGCGCGUUCAGUCCCUAGUAGCGACAUAAAUGCUGUCUCAUUUUACCCCUUGUAUUAUACGGCCAGUUUUUUGGCCAUGUUUAUUAAUGAAAAUACGUUUACCUGUUAAAAGAAAAAAUGAUAUGAGGAGAAACUUCUUAUAAAACCGGAUAAUGUUAAGAGUUUUCCACUUUGGUUGAGGGAAUAGGAUGUUGUCUCCUUAUAUGCGAUUUUAUCAAAAGCAAAAAGCGCUAAGGUCCACUGGGGCUUUAAGCGCAAAGUACAAACAAAGCGUGGGCUUUAAUGAAAAAAGGCAUAAAGGGCUAAAUAGUACGAAUGAGUUUAUGUUUAAUCCAAAACUAAUAAUUAUAAGCAUGAAAGAGAAAUAUAUGAACAAAUAAUAUAAAAAAAAUACGAUAAAGUGGAAUAUCAAUUAUUUAGUGUCGCCUCUAUUGAAGAGGCUCAUUGGCAAGGAAAUGUAUUCCUUUGAACCUUGAUGAGAGUACUGAAGCGCACAUUAAGCGAGGCGAAAUGCUCGACAUAUUUUGAGCUUCGCUUUAGGGCUUAAGCGCGCCUUCAACAACACUGUCACAACAGCAGUGCUUAUAUGGUCUUUGACAAUCCUUUCCCGAAGAGCUAUACCAUAAGGUUGAGUUAGGCAUCAGGUCUAUUUUCUCACCAUAGUGACGGAGCCAGACUCGUACCUAUACUUGGUUUGUCAAAUGUUGGGCCAAUAUUAUAUUGUCCAUGCUUCAGACGUUUAACCUUGAGCAUAUGGGGGUGUUAGAGGUCACAUUAGUUGGGGGGAUGGAUGCUUUUCUUAUUAUAUUCCUUGGACAAUCUUCAUAGCAAGAACUGGUUUUUCAGUUGAGUUAGUCUAAGGUGUAUUUUCUAUUAUGUCAAACUAGGAUAAACUUCUGAUUGAUUUGAUAAAAUAGGAAUGUCUCCUUAUGUAGGAGCCGUAGUCUGCCUAUAUUAUGGUAGGUAAUCAGUUUCUAUGAUAACAAGUUAAUUGUCGAUAAUGAAAUACAUAAUAUUAUAAAGUAUCCUAUAUAGUAUUCUAUAAGAUGUUUCUUCAUAUUCAAGUACAAUGAAUUUAGACUUGUAUCUCUUGAUAGGAGAAAUGAUCUAAUGGACCUUUGUACUUGUUUGAGUUUGUAUUUUGGAUCCUUCUAUUCAACCCUUUACCAACUGAACCCUAAAACUUAAUAAAACACAGUAUUUUAAUCAUUUUUUUUAGCCGAUUAGGGUGUGUGUAAUACACCUACACGUGCAGUUCCAUGUCAUUUUUUAAUCGAAAAAGGCUCAAAAAUGCCCCUGAACUAUCCGAAAUAGCUCAAAAAUGCCCUUCGUUGGAUUUUUGGCUCAAAAAUACCCCUCCAUUAAAUAUUUGGCUCAAAAAUACCCCUCCUUCUAACGGAAUUCGAAAAAGGAUCAAAAAUACCCUUGAACUAUUUGAAAUGGGUCAAAAAUACCCUUCUGUUAAAUAUUUGGCUCAAAAUUACCCUUCGUUAAUUUAUAUAAAGUUCAUCAUUUAAUUUAUAUUUCGUUAAUUUCUUUAAGUGAAAAUUUCUAUUUUGUUAAUUUCGUUAAUUUAUAUUUCGUUAAUUUCUUUAAAGAUUAAAAAGAUGUAAAGUGAAAAUACCUUUUUAGAAUAAAUGUAUGUUUAUUUUACAAAUCAAAUUCAACCAAUUUAUAUUAUAAUUCAAAUACUUUUUUUCAUUAUCUUAUUUUUAAAAUUAAAAAAAUACUUUUAUGUAAAAAAAUUAAAGUAAUAGGGUUAAAAGGUUAAAGUUAGGGUUUAAUUCAAUCGAAAUAAUUUAGUUUCAUUAAGGGGAAGGGUAUUUUUGAGCCAAAUAUUUAACAGAGGAGUAUUUAACGAAAUUAAAUUAUUUCGAUUAUUUCGUUAAUUUAUAUAAAGUUCAUCAUUUAAUUAAUAUUUCAGUAAUUUCUUUAAGUGAAAAUUUAUAUUUCGUUAAUUUCUUUAAAGAUUAAAAAGAUGUAAAGUGAAAAUACCUUUUUAGAAUAAAUGUAUGUUUAUUUUACAAAUCAAAUUCAACCAAUUUAUAUUAUAAUUCAAAUAUUUUUUUUCAUUAUCUUAUUUUAAAAUUAAAAAAAUACUUUUAUGUAAAAAAACUAAAGUAUUAGGAUUAAAAAGUUAAAGUAAGGUUUAAUUCAAUUGAAAUAAUUUAAUUUCGUUAAUGGGAGGGGUGUUUUUAAGCCAAAUAUUUAAUAAAGGGGUAUUUAACGAAAUUAAAUUAUUUUGAUUAUUUUGUUAAUUUAUAUAAAAUUCAUCAUUUAAUUUUUAUUUCGUUAAUUACUUUUAAGUGAAAAUUUAUAUUUCAUUAUUUUCGUUAAUUUAUAUUUCAUUAAUUUCUUUAAAGAUUAAAAAUAUGUAAAGUGAAAAUACCUUUUUAAAAUAAAUGCAUGUUUAUUCUUGGCCAAAUCCAUCGAUAGCCCUCAAACUUGUCUCGAAAAUUUACUUAGGCCCCUAAACUAAGGCUUGUACCUAUCAGGCAUUUCAAGUGCUAAAAUUGGUACCUAUCAGGCACAAAAUGCUGAUUUACCAAGGAGAGUGUGUUACACUCUCCUUGAGCGCGUGAAUCGAAGAAAAAAAUAAUAUUUUACUUUUUUUAAUUAAAAAUCUUAUACUUAAAUUAUUUUUUAAUAUAAUUUUUAAUUAUAAUAAUGUCUAAUUAAAUAAANNNNNNNNNNNNNNNNNNNNNNNNNNNNNNNNNNNNNNNNNNNNNNNNNNNNNNNNNNNNNNNNNNNNNNNNNNNNNNNNNNNNNNNNNNNNNNNNNNNNNNNNNNNNNNNNNNNNNNNNNNNNNNNNNNNNNNNNNNNNNNNNNNNNNNNNNNNNNNNNNNNNNNNAUCAUCGUCUCCACCCUACCCCGUCCCCACCCCAUUUCCUUCUGACAAUUAAAAAGCUACCAACGGAUUUAGAAAUGCCGGAAACUUCAAAGGAUUGAAUCAAGCUCCUUAAAAGGGCUUUUGAAUUCCUUCAUAUUUGUUAUGGAAUUCAUUGAUACUGAUUUGUAAUGGAAUUCAGUGAUAGUAUUCUCCAUUUUUUAUCACUGUCGAAGCUCGCCGGAGCUCCGGCGAGACGAAAACGAUGAACCUAGCUCCAUUACCCAUCAACUAAAAUUGGUCCUCCUUUCACCGUAAAAUACCAAUUAUCUCCAUCUAUCCGAAAAUUUGACGAAGCCUUAUCAAAAUAAAAUAGAAGCAACAACAACAACAACAACAACAAACCCAGUGUAUUCCCACCUAGUGGGGUCUGGGGGGGGUAAGAUGUACGCAGUCCAUACCUCUACCUCUGAAGAAGUAGAAAGGCUGUUUCCGAUAGACCCCCGGCUCAAGACACGAGAUACCACACAAACACAUAGUAAAGCACAGCAGUGAUCAUAAAGAGUCAGCAGUUCCUAAUUGCAUCAAUAGGACUCUUGCUGUAGAAAAUUCUUCACAUAAAGAUCAUAAAGAGUCAAUUAUAAGUGAUAAGUGUUGAAUCCUGUUAAACGAAUGUAUAUGAGCUAGAGGAAAUCUUCUUUCUUGAUGUUGUAGCUAAGAAGUUAGUAAGUGUUCUAAUCCAUCUUCACCAUCUACAGAAAAAUGACUUGACCAACAAUGUAGACACUAACAUUUCUCUGUCUCCUCAAUUCCACUUAUCCUAAUAUAUCUGAAAUUUGCCAUUAUCUUUGUUUGUAGAGAAAAUAAAAGAGAUUUUUGAUUUAUCCACCAUCUCAAUUCAGAUUCCUUCUAAGUUAGUACUCCUCCUUCCUCCGAGAAGCACAUUUGGGAAACUUCUCACAUAUGGCUUUCAAAAUGUAUUACCCUUUCAAUGAGUAACUAUGGGCAAUCUAUUCAGCGCGAUGAACGUUUUAGGUCAUCACGCUGAAUUUUACUUUGUUAGACUCUAUCGCAAGAAACGAAUUAAUAAAGUUCUCCCGGCUGACACUACAAAUGGCAUUUUGCUAUGAACUAUGAAAAUCAUAUGUACAGCUAAAGAGUUCCUACAACCUGAAAUCUCUAUUGUACUCUACUUAUCAGAUCAAGUAUCUAUUGCUAAUUGAACCCGGGAAAUGUUAAAAAAGACGCGAAUAAAGAGUAGAACAACAUACCAGCAAUCCCUAUAAGUAGCACAUUGCAGGAAACAAGCAUGAAAGAGCCAUAGGAAUUAGCAUUAAAUGACAACAGCUCACUCAAUUUACCCUCCGUUAAAAAACUCGAAUUAAUCCACCAUUAAAAAACUCUCAUAAUUAACCCACUAAAACUCCUACCAUUACUAUAUUCUAGGUUCUAGGUUGAUAUGCUAACUGAGUUGAGUGAGCAAGAAAUUUGACGAUUUUGGGCAAAUAUCUUCAAUAGAUCGAUGAAUUUGAGCAAAGAAUUAAAAAAAAAAGCAGGAAUAGAUUUUGAAAAAUGAAAAUUGAUCGUCAGGCUAAAAAAUUCAUCAUUUUCUUUAGCCGUUUUCGAAUGCAUUUUUUGGUUAGACUCGCCAGAAAAUCAAUUCGAAAUUUCAAGAUUGU
rnacentral:lncRNA from 1 species